CAGGAGCCAAUCCGCACGGCUCUUCCCUCCUGUUCUCCCCCGUUCGAGUUAUUCGCUCUUGUUCAUCUUCGCCGGCGGCGCCGCCGACGAGGACGACAAUGUGAGAGGGCGACUCUCCGCCUGGCCAGUGGGGAGCGGGGAGAAGAUAAGAUUCGCCGGGCGACGGCGGCGGAAUCCGGUGGCGGGCAAUGGGCGCGACGGCGGAGGAUGGGCCGCGCCGGGAGAAAGAGGAGCAGCAGAAAGGAGGCGGCGGCGGUGGCGAUCAUGAGGAUGGGGCACGCCGGGAAGAAGAGGGGAAGCGGCCAGACGGAGGAGGGCCUACUGAGAAGGGAGAGGAGGAAGUGGUGGUGGUGGCCGUUGAUUCUUCCGCACCCACGGAAGCGAGAGUCUCUAGGUUGCAGAUUUCUCACCCGGUCAGCUCUCUUCAGGUCGCCCCUCGAGGGUUCCCUGCCCAAGCCCGAUCGAUGCCCCCUGGCUUCCAGCCGACACCCCUCCUGGUACCUCUCUCUCUCUCUCUCUCUCNNNNNNNNNNNNNNNNNNNNNNNNNNNNNNNNNNNNNNNNNNNNNNNNNNNNNNNNNNNNNNNNNNNNNNNNNNNNNNNNNNNNNNNNNNNNNNNNNNNNNNNNNNNNNNNNNNNNNNNNNNNNNNNNNNNNNNNNNNNNNNNNNNNNNNNNNNNNNNNNNNNNNNNNNNNNNNNNNNNNNNNNNNNNNNNNNNNNNNNNNNNNNNNNNNNNNNNNNNNNNNNNNNNNNNNNNNNNNNNNNNNNNNNNNNNNNNNNNNNNNNNNNNNNNNNNNNNNNNNNNNNNNNNNNNNNNNNNNNNNNNNNNNNNNNNNNNNNNNNNNNNNNNNNNNNNNNNNNNNNNNNNNNNNNNNNNNNNNNNNNNNNNNNNNNNNNNNNNNNNNNNNNNNNNNNNNNNNNNNNNNNNNNNNNNNNNNNNNNNNNNNNNNNNNNNNNNNNNNNNNNNNNNNNNNNNNNNNNNNNNNNNNNNNNNNNNNNNNNNNNNNNNNNNNNNNNNNNNNNNNNNNNNNNNNNNNNNNNNNNNNNNNNNNNNNNNNNNNNNNNNNNNNNNNNNNNNNNNNNNNNNNNNNNNNNNNNNNNNNNNNNNNNNNNNNNNNNNNNNNNNNNNNNNNNNNNNNNNNNNNNNNNNNNNNNNNNNNNNNNNNNNNNNNNNNNNNNNNNNNNNNNNNNNNNNNNNNNNNNNNNNNNNNNNNNNNNNNNNNNNNNNNNNNNNNNNNNNNNNNNNNNNNNNNNNNNNNNNNNNNNNNNNNNNNNNNNNNNNNNNNNNNNNNNNNNNNNNNNNNNNNNNNNNNNNNNNNNNNNNNNNNNNNNNNNNNNNNNNNNNNNNNNNNNNNNNNNNNNNNNNNNNNNNNNNNNNNNNNNNNNNNNNNNNNNNNNNNNNNNNNNNNNNNNNNNNNNNNNNNNNNNNNNNNNNNNNNNNNNNNNNNNNNNNNNNNNNNNNNNNNNNNNNNNNNNNNNNNNNNNNNNNNNNNNNNNNNNNNNNNNNNNNNNNNNNNNNNNNNNNNNNNNNNNNNNNNNNNNNNNNNNNNNNNNNNNNNNNNNNNNNNNNNNNNNNNNNNNNNNNNNNNNNNNNNNNNNNNNNNNNNNNNNNNNNNNNNNNNNNNNNNNNNNNNNNNNNNNNNNNNNNNNNNNNNNNNNNNNNNNNNNNNNNNNNNNNNNNNNNNNNNNNNNNNNNNNNNNNNNNNNNNNNNNNNNNNNNNNNNNNNNNNNNNNNNNNNNNNNNNNNNNNNNNNNNNNNNNNNNNNNNNNNNNNNNNNNNNNNNNNNNNNNNNNNNNNNNNNNNNNNNNNNNNNNNNNNNNNNNNNNNNNNNNNNNNNNNNNNNNNNNNNNNNNNNNNNNNNNNNNNNNNNNNNNNNNNNNNNNNNNNNNNNNNNNNNNNNNNNNNNNNNNNNNNNNNNNNNNNNNNNNNNNNNNNNNNNNNNNNNNNNNNNNNNNNNNNNNNNNNNNNNNNNNNNNNNNNNNNNNNNNNNNNNNNNNNNNNNNNNNNNNNNNNNNNNNNNNNNNNNNNNNNNNNNNNNNNNNNNNNNNNNNNNNNNNNNNNNNNNNNNNNNNNNNNNNNNNNNNNNNNNNNNNNNNNNNNNNNNNNNNNNNNNNNNNNNNNNNNNNNNNNNNNNNNNNNNNNNNNNNNNNNNNNNNNNNNNNNNNNNNNNNNNNNNNNNNNNNNNNNNNNNNNNNNNNNNNNNNNNNNNNNNNNNNNNNNNNNNNNNNNNNNNNNNNNNNNNNNNNNNNNNNNNNNNNNNNNNNNNNNNNNNNNNNNNNNNNNNNNNNNNNNNNNNNNNNNNNNNNNNNNNNNNNNNNNNNNNNNNNNNNNNNNNNNNNNNNNNNNNNNNNNNNNNNNNNNNNNNNNNNNNNNNNNNNNNNNNNNNNNNNNNNNNNNNNNNNNNNNNNNNNNNNNNNNNNNNNNNNNNNNNNNNNNNNNNNNNNNNNNNNNNNNNNNNNNNNNNNNNNNNNNNNNNNNNNNNNNNNNNNNNNNNNNNNNNNNNNNNNNNNNNNNNNNNNNNNNNNNNNNNNUCAUCUCUCACCCCCCCCCCUCACCACCCCUGUCGCCGCCGGUUAACCUCCCGUUUAACCUUAUUCUUCUUAUUCUGCCAUUCUUUUGUAAGCUUUCCUCUCUCAUCUGAUCCGUCUACAUUACUGAAUGACUGCGAGGGGGAAGGCCGCCACAGUCAUCUGGGACAGAGAGAGAGAGAGAGAGAGAGAGAGAUGGUACCUGUUGCUCUCUCUCAUCACGUGGACGGUGGCAGGUGGGGAAGGACUGGUCGUCCACCACGGCGGAAGAGGAAGGCAGCGUCUACGCCGCCGCCGCCGCCGCCGGCGGGCCACCAGUGCCGCGCACUGUGGACGACCCUCGUGCACCAAUCAGGAGAGAGAGAGAGAGGUACCGCCGCCACUGACGGAGCCACGGUGGAAUCCAGCGCGGAGCCGCAAAAGCUUACACCCUGGGCAGGUCCCUCCAAACCGAGCAUUAUUUAUGGGGCAAAGGGGAGGACGCUCUGCUCCGUCUCGAAAUCACCGCAUCUACAAAAAAACGCGCACGUCAGUACUUGGCGGAUUUGCAGCCGAUGGAGAUUAAAACACUUCGGCCCGCAGAUAUGGUCUCAGGAAAAUAAAUAAAUAAAUAAAAAUAAGCGGCGUUGAAUGGACUCGGCAAGGUCAACUGUCUGCCUACUUUGGGAAUUUCUCCAGUUCAACGCGCCAUCGCAAAAAAGGAAAUCAUAUCCACAAAAAAGAUGUGUCUGAAGUCUCGGGGCUCUGUCGAUUGAAUAGAUGAGGUUACCAGUCAAGAACAUGCAGCAAUUUCCAAAAUAAGAAUUGCAGUGGCACGAAAGGAGAUGCAUUUAAUACCCUCUACAUGGUGGGCGACAACCCCACAGAAAAAAAAAAAAAAUUAGCUUUUUCAGGCGAGGCUGCGAUGGGCGGGCCCGCGCAGUUCAAGGCCAUGCAGCAACAGCCGAAGUAGAAAAAGUUGCACAUCUGCUGCGAUAGAUCAUUAAUCAUAUGAAACAGUGCUCAUCGCCCUUUAAUAAAGCACAAACGCUGGUGCAGGGGACGUAUGAUUAUUAUUAUUAUUGUUAUUAUUAUGCGAAAUAAUUUCACAGAGAGGGAGGCACGACACAAUAAACAAUCGGCGAUGUUUAGCUCAUGGAACACCUGGUAGAAUCGAGUCUCAUAAUUCAAGCAAUGCUUCCGGGCAGUGUCUGUAAUUGGGGCAGAGGCCAAGAACAAAGGCCACACUGUUCUAGAGAAACACGAUAGAAAUUACAUACCAAAUACGCAUAAUUAUUUGGAAAUAUACAACAUGAUCGAUCCGAAAUGACAUCAGUGCCCAUCAAUAUGCGCACAGGUAGAAUAAACAGGGGGGGAAAAUACGCAAGGGAAAAUACAACCAUGGACGAGCUUAAAAUGGGAUCUCUAUAAUAUCCACAAAGCUCCCACUUCCACUGCAACACCGCAGAGACUUCAUCGUAGGCUGCCUGCAUUUUUUUAAAGUAAAUUGUGAACCAGACCGACUGAGAGGUUCCUCACUCAAGAGCACUAAAAUGAUUUACUGCGAUGUGUUAUUGAAAGAAAGGUGGGCAGUGGAGCAGCAGCAGUAGAGGGAGGUUCUACAUGGAGGGGAGAUGAAGGCCGAAGUGUAAAAUGGUUCUGUACCCACCCUGUCUUAAUCCUCUUUUCCAGCGGUCAAUAUGGCCGCCUCUUGUUCACCAAAAGGGCAUUUCUCUCUCCUCAAUGCCUUGUAGUAUGUUUGAGGUGAAAUAGAGACCAGUCGUUUCAUCUGACAGGAUGUUCUACUUGCUCAUUGAAAGUGAGCUCCAUUCGCCAAUCUAUGAAUGGUGUGAUAGUUCAUCUCCUGAUCUAGAGAGAAGACCCCCUAAAUAAAUUUUCUGAUGCAUUACGCAAAUGGGAAAUACACAUGAAAUUAUAUCCAAUACUGGCCAGAUCAUUUUCGAAGUACAAUCAAGGAGCAUUACUUUUGUCAAACAAACCGAUCAAGAUCCUCUCAAGUCAGAAACUUCUGGCCAGCCUUGCAUGGUAUAUUCGGAUAAGAAAUACUCUUCUAUUUAAAAUGAAUUUUUAUUCCGUGCAUUUUGAAGUAAUCGGGUUCUUACCCUACAGUAGAUUCACAUAUUCCCGCAUUUGGAAUGGAUUGAUUAAUUGACCAUCGGCAGCACGUCCAGCUCUAGAAAUGAAAAAAGUACAACGGAUAUGACAGCAGGCAUGGAAUUGGUCGUUUUCCCCAUCCUGGGCUUCUAAGUACGGACCGUACUCACUGAAGAAUCAUUUAGUCUUCCCACGGCAUUCCCAAGGAAAGCUAAAUCAAUAAUCAGUUUGCUUCCCUCGGAGCAUAAAGGGCUACAUUCGUUCCAAUCUAUCCCUCAUGAAGCUAAAGAAAGAGAGCUUAUAGAGACUACAUCAGGGAUCCUACCAACUCAAAUAACAUAAAAAAAAGUGAAUUAGAGUAUUAUUCUGCAGAAAUUAGGUGAUACGAAGCAGAAAGAUAAGAUUGAAAAGCAACCCAUAGCAAGUGGUGUCCGAAGUUCUAACUGUUAAAUGAUAACAAGGUAUGCAUAUCAAACUAUACAACGAUAUAAACAAUAAAACCUCGAAAUAAAAAAUGAACAAUGAGAUAUAAAAAGGCUGGAAAUCCCCUAACAAGAAAACAAGAGACCUUUAAUAAUUAACCAAAAGCAAGCAAACACUUGUUCGAUUCAGUAAUUGAUCAAAUCAGGGGGGAGUCAGAUUGAGUCAGUGAAACCAUGUUGUAAUGCUUACGUACCCAUCUUUUCCUGGAUGGCACCAAUCAGCUCUUCACAGUUAUCCUUCAAGGCAUAUGGAAGAGCAUUUUGGUACAUACGAAAUGAUGUACGAAUUCCAGCAUCCUCCAUCCACUGCAAAACCUGCAUUUGAAAGGAAUAAGAUUCAUACUGAAGCAUUGAAAUAGAAGCAUAUCACAAAAUAUAGGCGGAUGUAAGAAAGAUAAUUAGCCUUCUAGAUGAGAAAGAUUCAAGGUGCAUUGUUGAAAAAACUAGCUAGUAGCCAUUGCUUCUGUCACUAAUGGAAGGAUGUAACAAAAGGGUUGAAAUGGCAUGAUGCUAACUUCAAAAAGAAACUCAGUGCCUUUUUUUAAAAAAAGCGAAGUCAUCCAACUGGACAUGAAUUUAAACUAAAAUCAAACUAAAUGAUCAAUGAAACAUAUGCUCUAUCCUGCACUAGACGAUUUGCCAUCUUAGUCGUCUAAUUUAAGAUUACAGAUGUUUUUUAUACAGUUACAAUGCAGUGCUCCACUUCAACUGUAGCAUUGAUCCAUACUUCCCCACAUUUAAGGCCACAGAACUCAUUGAUUGAAAUUCUUCUUUCAACUAAGCAUAAAACGGUGCUUCAAUAUUAGUAGUACCUACAAUGAUGGCCCAACGGUGAUCAUGUGUGAAUAAUCUUAGCCCCAAACAUGUGUGCGGAUAAAACUGGUGGAAGAUUCUUCUACAGGUGGAAGAAAUCACAAAACAUUCCAUGUGAAUUAAAUAAAUUUCUAGGACAUCAUCAACAUGACCAUACCGUGUACCCAACUUCUCAGGGGCAACAGAUUAUGGGGAAAAUUUUCAAGCAUGCCUGAUGAAUACUAUCAAGAAUAGGAAAACAUUCUCCCGUGACUUAUUUUAUUCUUAUUUUUCUACCCUCUUCUUAGAUAAUGGGAGAAAGUAUGUCGUUCUUUCUUCUUGUCGUAGUCAUUUAUGCUGAUGCUUUUUCCUUUUUUAAUUUCCUUCUUGUGUUGCACAUUCUGCUUUCUAACAGCUAUGUUAUUAUAAGAGUGCCAUAUACACAGCCAAAAAAGUAUUUCCUAUUGUCUCCAGUCAGUCAGUCAUUAAGUCACAAUUACAAAGAAAGAAUGUGAUAAAAAAUUAAUGAUUAGAAACCCAGAAGUUGGGUUCUGGAAAAUUCAGACAUGUAUGAGACGGCAAAGGGAGUAAAUCAGCACGGAACCCAUAUCAACCUCGACAAAAGAUGGAAGGAAGUUUUAACUAAUCUAAGGAUUCAACUGCAAAUUCAAGUCAAGAAAGAAGCUAUGGACGAAUGAUGGCUCAGGUAUAAAUGAUGAAAUUGAGGAACAAAAGCCAAGAUAUUUGUCUGCAAAAGAAAAAGCCAUCUGGAACAGUUAUUUCGCUAGAUUGAACCUCUAACGAGUAAAUUGAGUUACAAGUUGCAAUGUCAGCGAAAACAAAUUCGGGCUUCUGAAAAGAAAUGUCAGAUCGAGCACUGAUGUACAUGGCACUUAAAUCAAUCCUGGUUGAUGACUGCCCAAAGCUUUGUGAGAAUCAAACCUAAUUUUGACUCAUUAGAUGACCUCCCAUUUACAACUUGCACCAUAGAGCUAUUAUUCAAAACACUGCAAAACAUAUUUUACAAAAACAAUAUCCCGUUGGAAUGGAAAAGACAAGUCACCCAGGUAUUUUUGAAUGUGUAAAAUAUUAGGUAAAUAUAUUGGUAACACGUACUAGAAAGAAAUAAAAAGCAAAAAUUUAAACUCUUACUAACCUCAAUAUAUUUCCUCCAUUUUCCAGCAGCCAAGAGGUGUCUCAGCAAAAUUGAAUAAGUUCCAGGGUUUACAUCCAGACCAGAUGCUGUUAUCUUGUAAAAGAGCUGAAUUUAACAAUGUAGAGCAUUUCAUUUGAAGUUAAAAACAAAAAACAGCGUUCUAUAAAUCUAUGCAAACAUCUGUGAGAACGGUUUAACAAUAAAUUUAUUGGUGAAAUAGAAAGGAAAGUACACACUGACUUCAAUAAGUAAUCUUUCCAAAAAGAGGAAAUAUAUAAACACAAUGCUAGAAAAAGAAAACAUCUACAUUUGAUAAUACAGGAUUGUCGCAAGUUGGGAAAAAAAUUCGAUUGUCUCCUGCUUCUGAAUAUACAGAUUUAUAUUUUUUUUUAAAGGAAUAUACAGAUUAAUAUUUCCUUUCUAUGCUUGUCAUUUAUCAUGCAGUCUCAUCACUCGUAGCUCUAAGAGUUUCAGACUAUCACAGGAAUUAAAUAUCUUUACUGAACUGCAUAAAAUUGCGACCUAAAAGAAAUAUAGGUAGCCUUAAUAUAGAGCAUACGUAACUGCAUGGAAGAUUGAACUGGCCCAAACCUUGAAAUCACAUUUUUAUCCUUGUUCUGGAAUUUUUUUAAUAAUUUCGAGAUCGGCAUCCAAAAUUACGCUGAAUUGAACUUGGGAAAGACCAAUAGACCCGUGGACACAUGUCUAAAAUAUACUGACUAGAUUCUAAUGUCGUUCUAUAAGGCUAAAUGUACAGAGUUCACAUAGUAACACAACCUAACUUACAUAUUCUGGUGGUGCUUCCUUUGGCCCUCUAUCAGAUAAGUGAAAAAGAGAUAAAACAAAAAGAAUAAAAGGAUAACGUAGAGAACUUAGCAGUCAAUUAAUACAAGAGAUCUAAAGGCACAAUAGUAGAGUAUGAAAAAAUGACACCCGAAUGAGAUAUAAAUUUCAUUAUCACAUACAUGCUUUUGAAAAACUCAAACAAUCUACAGCCCUCGUCAAGAGACCUCUCCACUAACUCUUGGUGGAGUAAAGAUCUGAACUAAAAGAAAGGAGAGCAUGAAAAAAAAUAGGAGAGAACUGAAAUAUAUUCAGAGUUUUUUAAAGUUGGGUUGAUUUUCUGCUUGAUUUGCUUAAGUAUUUUAUAUGAUUUAGUCACUAGAUAUAUUAAGAUACAUUAACUUGACAGAAACUAUGAAAAUUAUGCUCAUUCAGUGUUAAUUACAUUUUCUCAAGAAUAGCCACUCAUGAUGAUCUUUUGAAACAUAAGGUAGUUAGCAGUUAGAUGAUACAGUCAUCUAAAUUUGAUAACUCGAAAUCGCUAUCCCUCUUACUACAGCUAGAUACCAGAAUUUUCCACCUAAAAAAGUAAAAAUUUUAGCAUAGGAGAAGUUCUUAAAAAAAAUCAACAAGAAAGAGAGAGAGGGAUGGUUUCACUAUACCACGGGACAUAAAAAACCUUGUUUCACUAUAAACCACGGGACAUAAAACGAAUUAACAAAAAAAUUGAAAAACACGUCACACGUGAAGAGCAACACGUGAACAGUAACAGUUCUCAUCAAAUCAAAGUUUUGAAGAAAGAUUUCUCAAUACGUUCAAAACAUGAGAUCUAACUCUAAUGGAGUCGAAAGUAUCUUCCAAAAUAAUAGUCUUUGAUGCUAAAACACAACAAUCAAAACGAAAAAUAUAUUUAGAGAAAGAUAAGAAACAAUGUUUUCAAUAUCUAUGUAUUAUAACUGUAAAUCCCUAAGCAUUUAAUGUUCGGCUAUAUCUUUGAUAUUAGUCUCUUUGAAAUAAUAUUCUAUCAAAAAAUUUAAAUAAUAAAGGCAAUUAACAAGCAGCUGAUACAGUGUCAGUACAACCUGGUCUUUAAAGAGACUCAAACAAGUCGACUUGGAUUUAAAGGUGCAACUCAUCACAAAAUUCUCGACUCAACGAAAUGCAAACCCCAUUUUGGAACCCUGGACUCCGCAAGGAGCUCAUUAAACGAGCAAAUAAGUUUUGCAACCCACCAUAAAGUGUGUGCAAAAUAAGAUAAGGGUACAUGGAUUUAAAAAAAAAAACUGAUAACAAGAUUAUACCUUCAUCAUACUGUCGACCUUCCCACUUUUCCCAAAAAAAUGCAGAAUCUGAUUGAAAAGUCCAAGUGAAAAAAAUCCAAAUGAAGGUUCCAAUUUCUCAAUUAACUCGCUUGCUGUUCUCCAAUCUCUCAACCUUUAAAAAAACAUAAUCAAAUGAGAAGAAUUCGUAAUCCUUUUCACAGAACUUACAGAAAACACCAUGCACCAUCAAAAUUUGGAAAAAACUCAAUUGAAUAUUACUUAUUUCUGCAAUUUUAUUGGGGUUUCAUUGAACACAUUCAGCAUGCACAUUCAAAUAAAACAGAAGUUCACACACAUCAACUUUUCGUUGAUAGUCCAAAAGCAAAUCAUGUCCUUAGAACAGAAAAUGUCUUACCAGGAAUAUUAAAAGAAAGACGGUGAUGCAUAUAUCAAUUCAAAUGUGAGCUACCUCUCGUCAUCCUUAUACAAAACAUGAAAAUCUUAGUGUCUCAUCAUUGCCAUGCAACAUCAAGGGCAAAUUUUCAGCUCAUGAUUCCAGGUAUCAAUUUCACUAUCAAAGAGCACAAGGAAACAUAAACAUUCAAAGGCAUUAAUUUAUUUACAUAUAUUCGUUUCCUAAAAUGCACAUAGUACACAAUGAAUAAGCGUGCCUGUUUUUCAUUAUGGUAAGGAUCUAGUACGAUUAUCACUUCCUUCCUGAAGGACCACUAAGAAAGUGUUACACAAAAUAGAGAAGCUAAGAAUACCGCCUAGAUUUUGGUUAUUUUGAGCCAAUAAUAUGCUAGGUCAAAACCGAAACAGAUUAGUCCAAAAAUUGGUGAUAAUGUAAUUUAUUGUGACAACAAAUAGAGUAAACAUGAAGUAUAUCACUCCCGUCACAGAGAUUCAUUAAAUCUAUGCCUGUGCCACGCAGUUUCAGCACAUGACAUGCAGCUGUUCUGCUGGCAGGCAGGUGAGGAGGUCCAAUAAUCAGUAGAAAUAGACCCUUAUGCAUGAUCUCAACAUGGAUAGACAACUUAGCUGAGUCGCAAAAUUAUUGGGACUCAAUAAUGUGGAAAAUCAAGCUUAAUCACACAACUCGGUAAAUCUUGGUCUUAAAAGUAAACAUAAAAUAUUACUCACAAGUAUAGUAAAUUAAAGCUUACAUCCGAAUGUACCUAUGUAGAAAUAAAUAUUUAUCAAAAAGGAGAAGCAUUUCCUUACAUGGUGCAAGAUGAUAAAAUUUCAAAAGAGAUCGCGGAAUUGAAAGGGACAGAUUUUUCUUUCAUCAACUCUGCUAAAGCGAGAACUCUUUCUGGCUGGCACCCUCUGUUGAAAGAUUUCAUCAGAGAUGAGUAAGCAAUCGCAUCUGGCUGGAUAUCAUGCAUUUCCAUCUCCUGAAAUAUCUCCCAUGCUCUCUCACAGGCUCCUUCAUAUCAAAGGCCCAAAGAGUUACUGUCAGUUACGGGAAAUUUAUAAACUGAACAAGAUUAUCAGGUAGUAUUACCAGCUUCACCAUAGACAUCAAUCAUGGCAGUAUAUGCAACAACAUCAGGACAACAGCCAGCUUCCUUCAUUUUAGCGAACAUGGCUUCUGCUUCUGCUAAUAGGCCCUGAAAAGUAAAAAUCACAAUGUGAAAGGAAAUUGUACGGGAAUGGUCAGAUUUUGAUAAAGGUUAAUAAAAGAAAAAAGUGGGAGGAGAAACUACGUGCCUUCUUGUUAUAAAUGCAUAUAACUGAUGAAUAGACUUCCCUUGAUAAGGGGAUCUGCAAUACCGUCAUCUCAUCAAGAAAUUUAAGAGACUCGUCAUACUUUCCCAUCUUCCACAAACCAUUAAGUAAGAUAUUAAACGUGACAGCAUCUGGUUUGAUCUUCCUUUCUUUCAUUGAUUCAUACAACUGCAAGGCUUUGUCAUGGCUUCCCAUAUUUAAAUAGCUCCCAAUGGCUGAGUUAUAUGCAACUAUAUUCAAUUCAAUACCACGACACUUAGCAGCAGAAAGUAUAGAAUCAAUAUUCACAAUUUGACCACAUCGACUGCAAGCCCCUAAAAGAGUGCUUAUGGUUAUGACAUCAGGUAGAAUCCCGUUCCUCUCCAUUUCACGAAGCACAUCUAAAGCUUCAGCUAACUUCCCUUCAGAUCCAUAUGAAUCAAUAAGUGCAUUAUAACUAACUGUGUUAGGCCUACAUGAGUUCUGUUUCAUUUUGUCAAAGAUCUCUCGAGCUUUUUCCGGCUGUCCAGAUCUACCAUAUGCAUUCACCAAUGAUGUAUAAGAUACAACAUCAGGUCGAAAACCAGAAUUUUUCAGUGACUUGAAGACAUUUAAAGCUUCCACAUGCAUUCCAUGUGAAGCAUAUGCACCAAUAAGAGCAUUAUAUGAUAUCAAACUAGGAUUCAGUCCGUCGGAAAUCAUCAAAUCAAACACUGCUUUACAGUUUUCAAUUUGCCCACAAGAAGAAUAAGCUUGGAUAAUACUAGUGAACGUCACCACGUCCGGUGCACAUUCAGCUCGUUUCUCUCUCAUUGAAUUAAAAAUAUCAACAGCUUUUCCAUAUUGCCCCAGUUUUACAAGACAAUGUAUGAUUAUAUUAAAUGUGAUCGUGUCUGGGAGUAUAUGUCUUCUUUUCAUUAAUUCAAAAUAGGAAAGAGCUUUCAAGUAUUGUGCCCCUCUCUUGAGAGCAGAAAGAACAAUAUUGUGAGUCACCAAAUCAGGCCCAACUCCAUUGUCUGUCAUUUUUUGGCAAACUUUAAGAGCCUCUUUCCAUUGACCACUGGAUCCACAAGCAUUGAUCAAAUUGUUGUAUGUUGACCGGCUAGGAGGGAUCUACAAAAUUAGGAAUCAAAAAAGUAUUACAUAGAUAUUUGAGGUCAGAAUGGAGCUAUAUAUUUCAGAGAAUAAUAAAAACAAGUGUUUCAGAUAUAGAACCAGUGACAGCAUUCCAGAAACAAAGUUAGACCAUGUGGCUUCACCUCAUUAUGAUAAGAAAAAUUAUGGGUAAAAAAAUGCGAAAGGAGAGCAGGACGUGGACACAGUUCAGUCCCUCAAAGAGGGAUGUGAGCAGACGAUGAAAACCCUUGGGCUGGCCCUCACCCCAUUGUGGUACAUAUCUAAAGAUCGAGUCGAAACUAUGGAAAGCGCAAGUUCUUCUAUAAAAACUAAGUCAACUAGGGACAAGGGCAAACAUUUAAACAGACGCAGUACAUAUUAUGGAUUAUUGGAUACAUACAAACUUGGAUUGAGUACUUAAUAGGAACUAGAUCUAUCAACGAAGUGGAUCAAUAGUUCUGGCGAGGAAUCCCAACACAAGUUAAGGGAAUUUACCCGCUAAUUCAUCGCAACCAUCCUGUUUACCAUCCCUAGAUUUGGAGGGUAAGAUGAAUAAAUAUUUACCCCCAUAGCAUAUUUGAGAAAAAAUCAAUAUAUAACUCUAUCUCCGCCUAUGGUUAUGAAAGAAAAGUCAUGUCUCAGUGUAUUAACUAUGCUAACUUCAAUAAAUAUUUAUUGAACUCCGAUGAAGAAAAGAUCAGUCCACUGGAUCAAUGGCUUGAACUCCGAUGUAGGCUAGAGAAUACUGAUUUAUCACAGGCCUGGUCUAUGCAGCAUAUACAUAUAUUGAAUGUAUGUGAUAUUAGAACUAAAGCGUGAUGGGCUCUGGUGACACAAUGUCCUCCUUCACAGUGCCAAAAGUUUCAUGUUUUUUACUUUCAUCGCUUUCAAAUAUAGUUCAUAUUUAUCCCAGAACAAUUUUUUGGUCAAAACUGGGUUUAGAAACCUUGGGUUACCUAUAUUUGUCUAGAAACCCAGUGUCUACAGACUGGGUGGGUUUACAUUGUAAAACGUUGGGUUAUCUAUAUUUGUCACUACUAAGAUAAGUUUUAAAACGAGAUUCUAAAGUGACCAACAGCAGUUGACCAAGAUCAGUAGAUUGAGGAUUAGAUUUCCAUUGGCUGUCGUGAAUAUUUUAUCAAAAGGAAGAAAAUCAAUUUGUGUUAAAAAAAUUGUACAUUUGAUAUUUUUAAAAGACAUUCAUGUAAAAAUGUAAUAGAGACACUCAAAGUAGAGAGGCCCGAUGUUCUUAAAUAAAUCUAUCAAGUUAGUCUCUGAAAAAUUGAAAAUAUACCACUAUCAUAAGCCAUGAGCCAUUGCAGGCAUGGAACUCCCGAAACAAGGCUCAUCGUGAUUCAAGGGAUCUUCUAAAUUAACGUUACAACUCCAAUCCAUUGUCUAUAUAAAAAGCAUUAAGAAAAGUUAAACACAUACAGUUUCACUGUUAACCUACUGGUGGAGAGAAGCCCUACAUUCAGCCAAGUUUCUCUUUGGCAAAAGUAUGAAAGCCUGAGUUCAACUUAAUCGACUUAGCAUUGAAAGCAUUUGGUUUUGCUUUGUAAAAAUAAAAUGCUACGAAGAUAAUUCAUGAACUGGAAAAUAACAUGCAAUUAGGCAAAAUGUGACACAGUAAGCACAUUAAGUUUCCAUAACAAAUUUAACAACAUAGCAGCAAGAGUUAAAUGAUUAAAAUAGAGCUUCUAGUUCAAGGCAGGAUUAAGGAUUUUGACACAAGAGCCUGAAAACUGUGACAUGAGCUCGAAAACUGAAACAUUGGUUUAGAAAAGAGCACCACAUUUUAAAGUCUUGUUCACGUUCCAAAAGAGUUAUCAGAAAUAAUAGCCAAACAAAAUCUCAGUAAAAGGAAAAUAGGGGGCAAGGAACCAUAAUCCCGCAAGAAAGCAUGUAUUUUCACUAUUCACUGAAUGAAAUGAAUGAGUAAUGCAGAUGACUCAACUAUCAGAUUAUAACUUAAACUGAAAGAAAAUAUAACCAAAAACUGCAAGCAACAUGGUUAUUAGAACUGAAUCGAGUGGUCAGAUCUGGAUGAAGAUCUGGGAUUAGAUGGGACAAAUUAGUUGGUCCAAACAUUUUUAAUGCUGUCUGGCAAGGUUACAUUGGCCAGGAAUCAACCAAUCUGAGUUGGAUAGACUGAUUGCUUGCUUAGUCACCUAAACUCAGAUAACUACAGUACAACUCACUCCCAGGUCUGUCAAGGGAAGGAUGGCUCAGCCCUGUGACUGAUCCAGUGAGGCAUCCAAAUCUCCCAGCGAUAUCAGAUCAGGCACUGCCAAUUUCAAUAAGGAUGAGAUAAUCCAGCUUUCAAUCACCAGAUUCCAGGCAUGAAGAUCAAAGGAGAGUGAGAAAUUCCCAUAGAGGAGACAAAACUGUAAUCAUCACUGUCUUGAGCACGAGAAGAAACUUAGAAGGUUUAUUAUGUGCAUUUAGCAGACGGCAAUGACUAGCGUUUAAAAGCAUCAUGGCACAAACUUUCACAAAAUACUCUCUGUGAAGCUUUUAUUGCAUCCGCACAUAAGAGAAUUCUCACGUAAGCAAAAAUAACUCGUGUGGAUCAAAUUUACAAGAAUAAAUUAUGAAUAUCUUUCCCAUUUUGACAAAGUACGAGCAGGACAGCACUGAGAGGUUAAAUAUUUUGAACAAGUAGAACGAUAAAUAAUACAUACAGCAGCACGAAGCAUAUCAUCCAUUAUAUUUAGUGCCCAACGCCAUUGACCCGCUCGACCAUGCGCAUUGAUUAGAGCAUUGUAUGUGUCUGCAUCUGGCUUGCAACUAUCAAAAGAGAAAACCUAAUUUUAACACCCAAGAGAAAAAUGAUAAAAUAACUACAUCAGAUUAAUUUAGAGGAUGGCAUGAGCCAGCAACAGGCUUGCAACCUUAAAUAGUGACAACCUAGCAUUGAUCAUUAAGAAAAAAAAAUGGGGACAGGAAAACAUCAUUAAAAUAAGAAAUGAAAAAGUGAAUUGCAUAUUAUGAUCUAAAUGCUCAAUGAUAUAGCAUUUACAGCUCGCCCGAACUCAACUCAUUAACAGAUAUUGGGUGGUCCUGGGUCAUCAAGGCCAAUCUUAAUUCAUCUACACCAGAUGCCUUUACCAAACCUAUUUCAAAAAUAUUUGAAUCUUAGCAUAUAGGGCUGCAGAAUCAUUGAACAACGUGAUAAAUUUAUACUACUUUUGAAUAUCAGAAGAUCCUCUGUAUGUACAUCAGACUUUGACUGAGUGUUAUCCACCAUUUUUCAAAAUAUUUCGUAGAUUUCACUGCAAUGGUAAUUCCUGUAUAUUAAUAGAAGCAAACGUACAUCAUCAAUUGUCAGUACUUUAGGACAUCAACAUUGAUGCAAUGUCUCCAAAUGCGGAUCAUUUUCUCAAAUAACUCCAUCAGGGGCAUCAUCGCCUGAUAGCAGACAUCUGCAUAUAAUAUAAGAUUUUUUGGGUCCUUUUUAAUAAAGUAUCAUCUAUGAUGGUGUUGAGAUACACAAAAAUAGUUUCCAGAGUCAAUGACACACAGAAAUGACCCAACAAAAUUAGGGCAACCCUGGUCAUUUGUGUGUCUAAUUUUUCAUUUUUAUCCUUCCCGAAUAAAUGGUGUUUUCCAACUUCUUGAGGAACUGAUAGUAAAAAUCCUAAAAACAUACGCAAUCUAAAGCUAAACAUGCGUGUCUGCUCUCAGAUUUCUUAAAGACUAGGGUCAAGUCGUGAUGAUCAGAAGAUUACUAGGUCGAUACCCUUUACACUAUCUUGGCUUCCAUGUUUACGGAGUCAGUCUAGGAACAACAUCCACUAAACCUUUUUAAACUUGGUUUUGGUGAUAUUUUUAUUAAGAGAAUAAAAUGGCAAAUUCGAGACGAAGACAACUUAGACUACACCUAUUCACACUACAGCUUCAUGCUGGACUAUGGAGGAAGAAGUAGAUCUUACCUCACACUGAUGCAAAAUAGUGUGUACUGAUAUGAUGACCUACCCUGGAAGAUUCCCAAUAAAAAGCGGAAAUAGAUGGACACAUAUGAGUACAUGAAAUGGAUUUCAAGAGGACGGCAUAUGUCAUCAUUGCACAACCAGAAAAUAGUGUGACUGUAAUUUAUAGCAUAAUUAUUAUUUAAAUAAAAUAUUAUUAUUUAUAUAGCAACAUGGGGUUAAACUAGAAAUUAAACUAUUUCAGUUUCUAGGAAUAGGUCUCUUAUGGAUGUGCUUUGCAGGCCAUGGGUUGUGAUCAUUAGAGGCCUGCACCCUACGAGUACCAUCUACUUUUCCAAUAGUGAACUUAGAGGUUCAUGGCCUUCACCUUUGCUUAGAAAAAAUCAAUUAUUAAUUAUGUCUUCUCCUAUUGAAAAUUUCAUAAGAACUAUAUAGUUAUAUGUUACUCGCACGAUGAGUGAAAACGAAAAAGCACUUUUGAGGUAAUUUUUUUCUGCUACUUGCACUGGAGGCAGAUUAUUACCUCGCAUUGUUUUUCCCUCAUUUACUAUUUUACAGUAUAUUGUCGUGCUUGCCCAUGUUGCCUGUCUUGGAGACAAAUUACUACUACAUAUUGGUUUUUCCUCCAAUUCAUACUGCCUUUAAUCCAAAACCAUUCUCUUUCCUCUCAUUGAAUAACAUGCAUACAUCAAUGCAAAUAUGAGAAAACUGUAAAACCAGACGUAAUUAAAAAAUGGUGGACAUGAUUUCUAGUUGAGCUUUUCACGAUUUAUUCCAUUUGAAUGAAAAAAAGUCAACACAAAGCAAUAUAAUUAGGUCUUUAAAGGAAAACGUCUAAACCACAAAGCAGCUACAAAGAGUUCAGUCAUGAUUUUAAUGUAACGCAGGAACACUAUUAUCAAUACCGCCAUUCUUGCAUCUCGAAAAACAAUCCACGCGCUUGAUCAGUUCGAUUAUGCUUUGCAUGCAACCGAAUCAGCAUGUUAUAGAUAUCAUUCUGAGCAUGGUAAACCUUCUGAUUUUUCAUCCAGGAAAAGACUUUAAUGCUAUGCUCAAUGGCACAGGCAUUAGAUAAUUCCUACAAGAAAACCACAGGCACGUCGUUUAGAAGCCUAAAAACAUCCGAAAUGACUAAAAACAAACAUAAGAUUCCCAUAUAAUGAAUGAAAAUAAUAGUAUGAUAUCCGUACCAAGAAAGCGUGCCUAAGUGGAGAAAGGCCAUGGUUUCACGAGCACCAAAUGCAAAUAGGGACACACAGCAAUUACAAUUCACGCAAAAAAGGAGGACACGCAAAUUGACAGGCUAAGAAUGAAUAAUGUGUAAUCCAGUCAAGGCAAAAAAUCGUUGAUGAUACCAAAAGGGUAAGCAUAUAUCAUGUGAAUAGUAUUUAAGAUAAAAGAUUUCAGAAACAAAAAAAACGUCCCCUAAUUGUUAAUGCUUGCUCUUCUUUUAACUUUCCUUUGAUUCCCAUUCAAAGUGAGGUUGUCGUGUGCAGGAUAGAUUAAGCCUUGUCAUUGGGGAGGGUUUGAUCCACCUCCAGUGCAUGUGAAAUUCUGAACUAACGACCAAAAGCUUAUGGUCCUUAAAUUUGGGUCGGCAUGCGAUUUUUAAUUAAUGCAAUUCAUAUUAUUCUCAACUUUUGGACUUCUCAAUUUACCGAUUAUCAGUAUAUAGGAAUAAAAUAAUGUCACUCCAACAACAAAGUUGAGAGGAUGCCCAGAGAAAGGAGGAUAAUUAAUUUCACUGGAGUGGGGUCAUAGAAAUCGGACAAGAAUGCAAUCUAUGACUCUGCUGACCACUUUUUGUUACUCUCUUGGGGCAAAAACAUUCAUUUAAACCCAUUUUAGAGGAGGACAGGACUUAAUCAAACUCUCACAAACCCCCUACCACUUGAAUUCAACUGUGCCUUCUCUUAUUCUCUGUUUCUCAGUUAAAUGAAACUCCAUUCAACUAGCAAGCAAUUUUUUUGUGAGAUAAACCCAACAAUAACUGCUGAAUUCGAUUUCCACGUAAACCCGCCAGACUCUCAUGUGACAUCAUCCCAUUGACUUAUUUUGGAGUCAAGCCACACGAAGAAUCCAAUAAAAUGCUGUCAUGGAAGUUUAGAUAUCUCAUUAACUACCGCGAAAGCUGUCAAAUUGCCUAUCACCGAGUACACAUCAUAAAAAAGUCCAAACUAUGGAUCGCCAAUUGACCAGAACUGCUUGCCGUAGAAUGAAAACAGGAUAUAUAUACACCGAUUAUGCAUUUGCCCGUUUGCACACCAACCACUAUCCACAAAUUAGAAGGGCCAAAAAUUAGAGAAUGCAGUAGGCUAUGCUCUGACAGAAAACAACGAAGUAACUUCAUUACCCGGAUGAGAAGGGGGAAGUUCUUCCGUGCAAAACGACCCGCCCAGCGGUUAAGGAUGCCUUCAAUGUCAUUCCAGUGUUCAAGCCUCAGGAUCCUCUCCGCCACCUCCGUCACCGUCCAGUCCACACUCCCUGCAGCACGGAGACGAUAUCUCGCUGGUAACCUGUCCCUUCCGACGCCGUCAACCUGGACAGACAGCCUGCGCCGCCCCUUGUUGUAGUCCACAGACCCCAUCACCCUCUGCUCCCCAAUUCGGUCACCAAUUGAAGAUGGAGUCCCACCUCUCUCGCCGCUCCUGGCCCUCUCACUGGUACCUUGGCCUUCACCAUCUCCGCCAUCGCUGCAUUCCCCGGUGCUGCCAUCACCACCGCAGAGGACCGAGCUCCGGCCGGGGACCCACACUUCUGGCCUGGCGCAGGCGCCCCUCCAUCCUCUGCUCGAAGGCAGAGUUUGAGGCAGACUGAGAAACAGCUGAGGGUGGCACCUGCAAGGGUCUCCUGCUACUGCCGGAGGCAUCGUCGCCAUGCCAGACGGUGGGUUCAGAACGGGAAUUUUGAAUGGAAUAGCUUACGCAUACGGGUAAGGCGCGCGUGAAAUCUUUAACGGCGAUAUCUCAAUCCAUAGGGGCAGAAAGAAUGGAGGGAGGAGAGAGAGAGAGAGAGAGAGAGAGAGAGAGAGAGAGAGAGAGAGAGAGAGAGAGAGANNNNNNNNNNNNNNNNNNNNNNNNNNNNNNNNNNNNNNNNNNNNNNNNNNNNNNNNNNNNNNNNNNNNNNNNNNNNNNNNNNNNNNNNNNNNNNNNNNNNNNNNNNNNNNNNNNNNNNNNNNNNNNNNNNNNNNNGAGAGAGAGAGAGAGGCCAUUGGACUGACGUGGUGUUUGUUCAGAAUUGAGGCCUUAUGAGUUUCAUCUAUGCAAAAUAUUGAUGUUCAUAGUUAUCUUCAUUAAAAUGUGAAGAGAUGUCCACAAGCAGAUAAUUUAUUUUCACCAAUAUCUCUUUAAUAAUUUAAAUAAACAAAUAGAGAGAGAGUUGUUGAUGCUAGCCCAACAGGGAUAAGUUAUUCAAGAACAGAGCUUAAAGAAAAGAAAUGGUAGAAGAGAGAGAAAUGAAGAGAAAUGUGUCAUGACAUGAUAAGAUAUGUGGAGAAGUGAGAUACAAUGAUGUGCAUUAGAAAUAGAGCACAAUAAUCACUAAAAGCUGAUGUAUAGUGGAAAUAAUUGCAAUACAGAUCUUAGAAAUUAGUAAAUAAAUACUCUUCAAAUGUCUAAUAAACACUUAUCGCACCAUAUAAGAGAAGGAAUGACCAAGUUUAUCUUGCCUCAUUAGUUACUAAUGAUCUAUAGAUACAAUUUGAUACAAAAAAUUAUACAUAGUAGUUGACAUAAAACAUAUUACUACAUAAUAUUGAUCUAGGUGUAAUCUUGGCAUGAUGAUAUAUUUUCUUAAAUAUAACAACAAACUUGGGGCACAUUGCUGGUCUAAACAACAAUUGGUUUGUGCUAAUUUACCUUUGCAUAGUAAAUCUGACAACUUAAAGAAAACGGCAGUACCAAACUUAUCACAAGAAUCAUUUGCUAUCAUAUAAUAAUUUUGAUGAGAAGAUCAAUAAAUAUGGCAAAAAAUUGUACUCAAAUGCAAUACAAAAAAAUCAUCACUGGUCAAUAGAACCUUCAAUUUUUUGAACUAAAAUGUUGUAGAAAAGAAGCCUCUUAGCAGAAUCAGAAGAAUUCCCUAUAAUGUUUGACUAACUUUAAUUCAAAUUCAUUUACUGAGCAUAUUUCUGAGUUUUGGAGCCCCAUAUAUUUUGAGGUGAAUAAUUUGAUGAAGGAAUUCAUCGACUUUAUGGAUGAUCCAAAUCAAAUUAUAUGUAUAUGGAUAUGGAAUAGACUUCCAUAGAUGAAACAUCCUAGUGUACCAAGAUUGUUCUUUACAUUAUCUCUUGAAAAUGUUAUAAUAUAGAUGGGCUCUAUUAUCGUUUGUUGGUUGUAGGGAGGUUGUGAAAGGAGAUAUGAGGGGACUUAACUGGUAUUUUUUGCACAUUUAAAUUUUAGUCUUUUGGAAGUGUUGACCAGCUUCACUUGCUCCACUCUUUAUGGAUCUAGCUCUCAAGUUUGACUAAUUUUUUUUUGCACAACUGUUGGACACAAAUUCCUUAACUAGCCUUCACUAGACAUCAUGAUUCUAAUCAACUAAAGCACCCCAUCAUAAUACUUAUUCUAGAUUCAUGACCAGAUUGGUGUCUUAAAAUCAUAAUCAAGCAAUAAAUAGCCCAAAUCUUACAAUUUAGACCUUUUUCAGAGUAUUAAUACAAUAAUACUCACUUAUUCUAGUUCAUGACCAGAUUAGUGCCUUACAAGCAUAAUCAAGCAAUCAAUGACCCAAAUCUUACUUUAUUUAAACCUUUUAUAGAGUACUAGCACAAGAAUACUAUAUUUAUGAUCAAUUUUUAAUGUUUCUCUUUUUACUAUUUUCCAACAUUAGAAUAUUAAAACAAAUACCAAUUGUAUUAUUGUUAGAUUUUAGACAAGUAUGAACUGAUGUAAUUAAAAUUUGUAACAUUUUGAAAAUUAAAAUUUGUAACAAAGAUUAUAUUUUCUUUAAAUGAGGGGGACAGAGAGAGAGAGAGUAAAAAAUCCAAUACAUGGGUAUCUAAGACAGGCCAUCCUACAAUAGAUAUUACUAUGGCAUGUUUUAGGCUGCAUUUGUUCUGGGAAUGGAUUCACUUACCCAAGUCUACAAAAGAUUUAUGACCCUCAAAGCCAGUAGAUUCAAUUACCGAGGUCUAUAAAAUCCCAGGCCAACAUGUGCUGGCCUUUGGGCUUAGUCCAAGCACCAGUAUAUAUAUAUAUAUAUAUAUAUAUCUAUAUAUAUAUAUAUANNNNNNNNNNNNNNNNNNNNUAUAUAUAUAUAUAUAUAUAUAUCUAUAUAUAUAUAUAUAAUCUUUAUCUGUAAACAUGUAUGCCAUAAAAGAGGACUUAACAGUCCUCAAGGUAUGCUUUGAUUCCAAAAGAAGCCAUCAAAUAUGAUGUUCAAUUCAUUAAACCCCACUGCAGGACGAAAAAGAAAAGCCCACAGAUGAUCAAAGAGGGGGCAAUAAUUCAAUAGUAGCGCAGCCCCUGGGGCAGGCCGGUUUCUGGUUUAUCUAAACAUAUAAAGCUGCCAUCUUUGGGAAGGCAGAUGGAUCGGCAGCAGCCCCAGCAUGCCAAAGAAGAAGAUCGGAGGGCGUUCAUUGAGCUUGAAGAAAUGAUCUACUUUCAGCAAAUAUCCAUCCAUUUAUUCGCGGAUCUUCUGGACUCCGAUCCAGCGAGCAUAGUCGACCCACCUGCUCAUUCAUAGAUGGCGGGUCAAGAAAAAAAAUCUUCCCAGGGAAAAAAAAAUGAAGCAAGGAAAAAAGGAAGCACUCACAGAAGAGAUCCCAGGAAGGUGUUCCCGGUUCGCACAGCAAAGCACAGAGCGCUCAGAACGAGCUUCUGGUUGUGCAGGAGGGGCUCCAGGAGUCGUUGCUCAACCACCCCAGCCAGUACUUGGUACCUUUUUCACACAAAGCAAACUUUCAGAGCCGGGGAACACCAACGAAGGAAGAAUAACAGGGGGCGCAAGCAAGCCUUUUUCACAAUGUGUUUAGUGAGUUUUUUCGCAAUUGACAGGUUGCGAAGAUCAUCAGUUAGAAUUUCAUCAUUUUUAUAGGAUUCAUGUACGUGGAUGCAAUGAAUAUUUCACCAGGCACAAAGAGGACCCAGUGAAGUAGAACAUGAAACGCACUAAAUAUUGCAAGUAAGUAAAAAUUAGAGAAAAAAUGGCGACCGGUAAGGGUAGAAAUAAGCUCCAUUAUUUGCUAAACGAAUAGCAUGUCUCUCUAGACCCGGUUACCUGAGGUUGCUUGACACUGCCAUGUAGAGACCGUAGGCUGCACUUGUUGAUAUUAUGGGGACGUCCUCUGCUUCUCCGGCAAAAUCCUUGUCAAGCGCUUUUCUAGCCUUGAUCAGGGCAUUGGUUACCCCAGUUCCUACCUGAAAAUGGACGAUUUCAGAGACAUGCCAAACAAAUCAGAAAGAAUGAGCAAGACAGAAGGUAAAAAUAGUUCUCCAUGAGUUCAUAAAUGGCAUCUAUCAUUCCAUAUUGGGUAGUAGUUCUAUAGCAUCCAUUUUUCCAUCCAGACAGAAAAGGGCACCCAUGGGCCCUCACUAGUUUUCUACCAUCUGUUCUUCCAUCCAGACAAAUAAGAACACCCAUGCAGCUGCUCUCACCAGUUCUAAAGUGUCUAUUCUACCAUGCACACAGAAGAAAAAAAAAAAAAGCCCAUGAAGCUCUCACUGGCUAGCUGUUUAGCAUCGAUCUUUCCAUCAAGACAAAAUGACACCCAUGCAGCUCCCACGAGUUGUAUAGCAUCUAUUUUUUCCGUCAAGAGAAACUGCAUGCUAAAUGCUCGAACUAGAAAACCACUCAGACAAAAAGGCAUGGCAACCAAUAUAUCAUUAAAAGCAACCAGGACUAAUACUUUACAUGGAGUACGAUUGCAUCAAAUCUCUUAUCACUGGGAAGGAUAAUCUCCCUUGCAUUUUAGGGCAGAAUCUCCGAAAACAGAACUAAACUAAUCUGAUGAAGACUUUCACGUGAAGAUGUUUUAAUCCCAAAAUCAAACUGGCCAAAUAGUUACAAGGGGAGAACCAUGGGCUUUGCCUUCAGUUGAACUUGACUAAUGUACACGAACCCACCGUGGUGUUUCGCUAGGACUAGAAUAAUAGAACACAUGGGGACCCACGCAUGAUACUGAUGUUGUGUGUGAUCACUAUCAAACAUGAGGUUUUAAGUCCAGGUCGCCAUCUUUUAAAAGCAUCCAUAAUAUCACAUUACUCCGAGUGUUGAUCAAAAGUGGUGCAUUGCGAAGACAAAACUAAGACUAAGUAUUAUAACCGCUAAGAUGAAAGGUCAUCUAAUGACUCAAGAUGCUAAGAAAAAACUAUAUCACGUUUACACGGCUUCUGAAACAGAUUCGGGGUAAGUGGCAGCAGAAAAAAGUUUCAUGUCAGACUUAGAGUGUUCAAAUCGUUGAGUUCAGUAACUUUUAGUCAACUCUUCUUUAACCGAAAGAAGAACCUAGAAAGAUAUUCUCUGCUAAAUUACAACAUCAUAAUGUGCCCUAGGGACAUUUUUUAAGCUCCACACCUCCAACCUGGAGUAAGAAAACAAUGUUCAUCAUUCAAAUCAACAGAUAACAAAUGAAACACAAACCAUUUUUUAUGCAUUUAAGUUUAAGAGAUCGAGGCAGAAAAAGAAGGCACGAAAGACCUGAGCUAAAAAAUUAACGAGUGAAACUAGGAAGACCACAGGGUUUGAUAAUAUCUAAGAGAAGGCGACUAAGCCUAUAACUCAAAAUAAAAAAUAGCACAAGCAGACUUUGUGUUAAAUGUGUGGGAGUUUGUGGUCGGGCUGUUGAGAAUUAGAUAAAUUCACAAAGAUGUACAAACAUAUACAUGUGCAUUUUUCCACAACUUCUCUAUUGAGACUGUAGCCAUCCAGGACUGGGAAGCCAGAAGUACUAAAAAAUCUAUAGGUUAGAUUAUGUUGAUAGCAUAAAGUUUCUGCCAGUUUUACAUGUAACAGUAAGUUUACUUUCAAUGAAUUAUCAUACCAGAGAUGCACCGGUGCCGACUACAAAAAGCUUUGUUCCAUUACGCUGCAAGGCAAAGGUCCAUCCAUCAAUGAGUAAUAAUAAAAGGACAUGCAUGCACAUCCACAUGCACACCCAUACACCAGGAUGCAUGAGCAUGUACGCACACACAUGCAUAAAUAGAUAAUUUUUUAAAUGAUGCAUAUUUGAUACUUCACCACUAUUGCACCAAUUCUCUGCAGAAACGAGUAAUGGGUUCCAGCUAAGGCAACCUAUAAAGAAUAUUCCAACAGUAUCGUAAGAAUACUGAGAAAGCUAUGUCAAGUAUUCUUCAAGAAAAUAGCUUUGUUCCAAGUUACCCAGAAGAAUGGAAUAUAUUUAAAAGGAAAGGAAACUCACCUGAAAAGCAUUAUCAGGGCACCCAUAGAAAAAUUUCGCAAUUGGUCCAGCACUAAAAGAAAGUGCAGGGCGAAGGGAAACAGUUGGGGCAGGGAGCCAAACAAGCAUGAAAUCUGCAAUUAUGGCCAUUACCUAGGAAGAAGAUAGGCAUCAAGGUUGUUAAAAUUGGUAAAUUUUUGUAUUGCAGUCAUGACUAUCACAGUAUCACAAUAUAGAAUAAAAGCUUCACCCAGGGCGCUAAAAGGAAAGCUGAGGGGAAUUACGCACAUCAAACAAGCCAGUUACAAAAGAACUGAUAUUGGCUAAUUCCUAAAAAACUAGAGGUGUCAUUGAGAUACGCCACUAUAACUCCUUUUUUUCUGUGGGGCCUUUAUCGUAUCACAAUCCACCCAAAGCCCUAUGCAUUUACAAUAGAGAUUCAAAGGAUCAGUUUUGGCCUGAGCAGGUGCAAAAUGGUAAGGGAUUAAGUUUUCUUCUUCCACAUUCAUCAGAACUCCUAACUGAGCUAUAGUUCAGAUCAAUUUAUAUAGCAUGCAUACAUUCCAUCGAUUAUGUAAUCAGAUUAAGUUCUUCACUCCAGAAUAAGAGGUUAAAGAAAAACUCUUUUUCUUGAUAUGCUAUAAUCACAUCUAAAACUGAAACUGGAGGCAUAAGCAUUGAUGUAAGGGAACGCUCUACCCUCAUUGAUAUGGGAGCAUUAAGGGCACAGUUAUGUUUUUUCCAAAAUGAAGUCAACCAAAGAGACAUCACUGUCAUCAUUAUUGUUGGUAUAGGAAUGAAGGGCCCUAACGAAAUGAGAUUAAUCCUCUUUUUAGUAGAUUUGAAUAAAACAUAGACGAGUUUCGUACAAUUGGGAUUGUAUCUCGGACAAGGCAGGUACAGUUGUGGUUUUUAUCAAGCUGGAUUCAAAGGAUGAAGACUGGUAAGGCCAAGAAUGUAUGGGAGCGUAGUUAUAAAUAUCAUUAAUAAAAAGGAUUUCCAUAUGUAUGUGUUUUGGUUAAUGUUAGGGACGUGCUACAUCAAAGAACACAAUUGUUUUCUUGUUUUUCCAUAAAUUACUUGUCUGAAAAUCGAAGUAUAUCCAGAUGAUAAUAUUCGUCCGAAUGUAAUAUGUUAUAUAGCUUCAAAUCUUCUUGUAGAAACGUAUUAAUGUAUUGAAAAAUAUAAAUAAAGCUGUAAAUCAUUUUAAGAGGUAAAAUAUCCCUUUUGAGAGGUUUCGUCAUUUUUCCACAUCAAAGUGCCACAUGCUUUUCUUGAUGUUCUACAUGUGUGGUAAAUCGACAGUGUGAUUGAGCUUCAGCAAGCAUUCAAUAGUUACAGAUUUAGAGCUCAGAAAGCAAUAAAACUUAUUGAUGAGCUCAUUCUGUCAUAAACCCAAUUACACAUGCCCAAGUCGUUAUCACUGAGCACUGGUAACAUGUCCUUUUUAUAGUCAAGACCAGAUGCCACGUUACCAAGUAAACAACAAGUAGAUGUCUUCGUUAAUAAAACGAUAUCAUUGAAUUUAUCACAUAAGAACAAAGAAACUUAUAUGGGGCCAUACCACAUCUGCAAAAACAAAAUCCAACUCCUUCAUAAAAUUUUCUCUGCGGCGCUCAUAUUCUGCAGCUGUCUGAAGAACAGAGUCACCAGAAAAAAAAUCAAUGAUGGGGCAUUAGGAAUGAAUAUAUAUAUAUAUAAUGGUAAAACUUAGCCAUCUGAAUAAGAAUGAAGACAUGAAAGCAAUCCAAAAAGAAGACAAGUUAGAACAGAGGCAAAAGCAGCUAAAUACAUAACCCAACACUAGAAGAGCAGUAACAAUUUCCCGAUACUGCUUCUCAACACUUCGAAUCUUAAAAGCCUCCAGCGAAGAUCCCCUUCCUGUACGUUCACAUGAACCCUCGAAACCAAGGACAUGUGACUAACAAAAAUCUUAACAUCUGACGUAAAUUUCAAGAGAAUUUUUCACGGGGAAAAAGGUGCAAGAGUUCUGCAUUAAGAAUAUCAAAAGGGAACCGAAUAUGAAGUGAGAGGCUCGAACAAUAUAUUUCAAGGUCUUGAAUGGAGCAAAUAAAUAAGUGAGAACAAGUGUACGGGCACAGAGGCCUCCAGGCAAGCUAGUAGGCAGAGAACGCAUGCCGAACGAGGUUAAUGGACAAAUAACGUUGAGAAGAAUAGGAAGAACUGAGGAGACACCUUGGUGAAUAUCCCGACACCGCACUCAAUGGCGACCUUGGUCAAGAAGAGGUCAUCCGCCAACAGUCGCUCCUUGAAUCCGCCAAACUGGAGCAGCCAUCCAAGAAGUGGUGAUUUCUCGAGCUCGAAGAAACGGUUCACAAUGGACCCUGGGAUUCUCCCGGCCUGGAUUGCAGCCGCAAGAUCAUUUGGGAUGCUCCCCAGCGACCUUCCAGCCUGAGAAAGCGCCAAGAGCGCCUCCAACCUGUUCUUCUCGCUCGAGGAAUCCUCCCCACCUUGCCCUUCCCCUUCCCCACCUCCACCACCACCGCUGCCUGAUCCUCCCCCAACACCAUCACCGCCAUCACUGCUCCCCAGUCCCACGUCGCUGUUCCCGCUGCUCCCGACGAUCAGCGAGACCAAGCGCUUGCUCAGUGGAACUUCCUUAUCGGGCAGACGAGUUGGGCCAAAGUGGAUGACCGGAGCCGUGGAGAUUGCCGACGAAAAGAGCCCAAUCUUGACGGAAGAAGAAGGCAGGGAAGACGAAGAAGACAGCACGAUGCUCGUAGGAUCGGCCGGCGGCGCAGCGACAGCAAAGCCAGGGCCGAAGGCGACGACGGUCCGGCGGAGACGCGGAAAAUGACGAUGCGUGGUCGACAGAUUGGCCGAGUAGCAGCAGCUGCUCACGGUGCUCGCCAUUCUCUCCCUUCUCCGCCUUCCACUCCGCCCUUCCUCCCCCCCCUCAAUUAUGCCACCACACCGGCCUCUCGUCAGAGAAUAUAGAAAUCAGGGUCGCUCACCACUUCGCUGGCGAGAGAAGCGCCGCCUGCCGCUGACCCCACCGCCGCCGCCGCAACCGCCGCAGCAGCAAACGCUCGGCCGCUGGAGAGAAUCUCCUCAGUCCUGACGAAGGACCGCAGAGGAAGACGACGAGGGACCACCGGCGGCUUUACAAGUCAAACCGCACUGCCAACGCCAUAGAGGAACGGUAGGCUCGGGAGGAUCUGGCGGUCCUUCCCCUGGAUUGGGGUUGAAAACGGCCUCUGCCUCAGCAGAGAUCCUUCAGAAGAAGAUUCACUGUGUGCGGACGUUUAACGGCUAGAAUAUUCACGAAUUUCCCGUAACGGAUCUUUCGGAUGUCGGCAGGGGGCAGACGGAAGGGGGCGGGGGCGCAAAAAGAUACGAGUUUUUCUGGAUGGUUUUUAGUGGCAUAGAUUCCCUGGGGGUUAAAUUCAAAUAUUCCCCUCGUUACGGCCGGAUUCUCCGCGCGUUUUGCCUUUUCUGACCAUUUUACAUUUAUGCGAAAAUUGGCAGCAUUCGCGUGUCCGACACGACAUUAAUUAAUUUUCUCCCCACAUAAUUUUUUUAUGAAGGAAAUAUAUAUUUUUUAUGCCCUUCAUGACGCCUAUAUGUGCAAUUUAGCAUAAAUCAAAGGGGUUCAUCAUUACAAACGCCCCCCCCUCCCGCCGGAAGGAUUCCUUGUAUGGCCAAGGACGCUCUCCGCCGGAAUCUUUGACGCUCUCCAGCGUACGACCUGAUGGAACCCACAUCCCAUGACUGGCCAACCGGAUGUAAAUCUGUGGACACAGUCUCUUUGGAGAAGCAGGGCCCAUUUUUGGCAUGGUUGACAAGGUCAGCCUUGUAAACAACAUUAUUGGAAGAGGCUGACUCCAUCUUGCACACAAGGCACUGCCAUGAAGAUUGGUGCUUGUUUCAUGUAGCAAAAGUGCAAGAAUAAGUGAAGCUAUGCUUUAAAUUAUUAGUGAUUGAGAUCUGCAAGUGGUGAAUCCACAAGGGACAAGAAGAAGUGUGUGUUCUUGAAUCCACAAUGGAGGGAUAUAAAGAACAUCUAUAUCAUGAAGAAUGCCAUCUUUUCUUGUAUACUUUGAGCCUCUAAAAUAGGCUAAAGAAAGUAACAGAGGGAAUCUACAAAUAUGUUUGACCCCAUACAUACAAGAAAAGGCGAUAGAACAUAGUUGAGUACCUAUUAAGUAAAACAAAAAAUUUAACAUAUAUCUUCAAAUGUUUUCAAAGACACAUUUUCAGACUUUUUGAAAUGCACCUUUUGAACAUUCUAUGUUGUUGUGACCUUGUUCUAAACAAUACAAUUUGAACGAGCUUAUUCAUUACACACCAUGCUUUAAUAAUACAUAAUUUAAUUCUUCAUUGUGGACAUGUAAAAAAAAUUCAAGAAAACUCAUGUCGGAAUCAAUAUGAGAGCACAUGGUACCAAGUAGGAGAGGGGGUAAAUUAUAAUUAGCUCUAAUUUCAUUAGUCAUUUUGUUUACACUCUCAAUUUUAAUGUUACAAGUAUGAAAUUUUAUUUAUUGAACAUUUGUUGCAUACACUUAUUAAAAUUCAUGUGUGAUGAGAGCUUAUAUUAAAUGAUUAAUAUUUCUAAGAUUAGUUCUGAUAUUCUACAACAAACAAGUAUAAUAUUAGGAGUUAACCCUUGAAAUUGAUUAAUUUCAUAUAAGUUUAAACUAGUCAUGAAAUACAACAUUAUAUAUAUUUUAUAUGUAAGCACAUAAAGUAGGGUACUAUGAUCAUGAUCGAUUGAUUGACGAUCACAAUCACGAUGUGGGUCCUUGAUCGAUUGUCAAUCAAUUGGCAGAUUGAUGGCUACAAUUUACCAUCUGUUAAAUAAUGACUUUUUAUUAUCCAAUAGUUAUGACUCACAUCGACAAAAGAGAGAUUAAAUCUAUCUCCUACUCUAGACUUUCACUCUCACUCUCAUUGCAUGUCCUCUUCUUGUCAAAGAGAUUAACUUCACUGGCACCAAGUUCACUAUCACUAGCUUCACCGUCACCAACUUCACCAUCACUGCCUCUCCCCUCUCCCUCUCUCUCUCNNNNNNNNNNNNNNNNNNNNUAUAUAUAUAUAUAUAUAUAUAUAUAUAUAUAUAUAUAUAUGUAAGAAAUAAAGGGAAUAAAAUUCAUACUCUCAUUACCUAUGCUCUCUGAGGAUUGGCCCUUACUCAUCUUAAUUCAAAGAGUGAGGUUUCAUAAAUAUUAUUUGUAUGAACUUGAUAGCAUCACAAUGAUAUAUUUAGCCUCCUAAAUCGAGUUUAUAAAAUUGGCACCAUUGCUAGGGAGCUAGGUGUCAUUGAGAGAACAGAGUUUUCCUUUAUUUUUCUUUUCUUCAAUGAACAGUUCUUUUUAAGUUUUUUGAGCCAUCGAUUAAGGAUUUUUCAAUAAAAAUAUCAAUUUUUACUUAUACAAUUUCAUGAAAUUUUUGAGCAGUAGGGCACUACUCCACACCCCUCAAGGGGGUGGUUCCCCCUUGACCCCUAGCCAACUGACUAUGUAGUUGGAUCUACGGCUGAAUCAACGAAGGUUCUUAUUUCUUAUUGUCAUUUUCUAUAACUUUUUCUUCAUUGCAGUGAUCCAUCAAAGGAGGUUUUAGAAGGUAUAUCUCUCACUUGAACCCUUUGAUUAUUUAUGUACGGUACUAGAUUUGAGAAACCAAAUUUAGUGGACCUUGAUUCCAUAAGAAGAUCUACUACUCUUGAGGAUAGAAGUGAUUGUGAAGAAAACAUUGAGGAGAUAGACCUAUUAUAGAACUCAAGGAAUAAAGAUUUAUCUCAAACCCAUGAUGAUAGAAGAAUGAAAAUGAGAGAACAUUAUAAUCCUAUGGGGAGUAAAUCAACCACUGAAAUCUGCCCACCUUUGGGCGGAGUGAACUUUAAGAUAGAAAAUAAAUUUAUUAACUUCUUACCUAGUUUUCAUGGACUGUCUAUAGAGGAUCCUUAUGUAUACUUGGAGGAAUUGGCUAAAAAUGUUCAUUGAAUCAAAUUCCAUGAGUCACUAGUGAAGUCAUGAAGAUGAAAGUUUUUUCUUUGACAUUAAAAGAUAGAACUAAAGGAAUGGUUUAAGAAUUUGGGAAUGAGAUUUGAAAGUUGGGAAGAAAUAGAAAAAUGUUUCCUAAAGAAAUUUUAUUCCCUAGGGAAGACUAACUCUUAUAGAAGAGCCAUACAGACAUUCACUCAAGGAGAUGAUGCAUUUAGUGAAGCUUGGGAAAGAUUUAAGGAUUUGAUUAGGAAGUGUCCUCACCAUGGGUAUAAUAAUUGGUAAUUGAUUCAAAUUUUUUAUGAAAGGCUACAUGAAAAUUCUAGAAAUAGAGUUGACAUGGUAUGUGAGGGAUCACUUUUAAAGAAAUAUGAUGAUGAGGUGGAAGAAUUGAUUGGAUGGUUGGCUGAAAAUGACAUCCAUCACAUGGGAUUGAAUCAAAAUAGGAGAAUUACAAGGCAUGGAACCAGAAAUUGAGAAAGAUAUGACCAACAUGCAUUUAGGGAAUGUGGAGGCAUCAUUAGGGAAGUUGACUGAAAUGACACAAAGUUUAUUAUCUAACCCUACUAUUUCAUAUGUCCAAAAUACUCUAUGUUCUAUGUGUUUCAUCAAAAGUCAUUUAGAUGGAGAAUGCAUCAACACUGAUGAAAUGAAUGUAAUGAAUUAUAUACCUCCUCACAAGUCAUAGAAUGGACGAGGCAAUGUAAACUUUAGCAAGGAGUCUCGACCCUCAUUUCAGCUAAGACCUUACUUCCAACAGUCCCAACAAUAGCACAUGUCUCAAGGUAACUCUAAUAAAUUUCUUAUGCAGAUUUUGUAGGAAAUUCAAAAAGACCAACAUGAAACAAAAGAAGUGGUAUGAGGCAUGGUGAGAGAUGUGGAGAAGAUGAAUUAAGCCAACUCUAAUACUAAAAACAUGAAAGGUAAAAGGAAAGAAGUGGACUACGGUACAAGUCGAUUUCCAAUUUGGCCCUCAAUUAAUCCUCAUAAUAUUAUUUCUGUAGAUUCGAAUGCAUAUUUUUCUUCAGAAAACUAUGAAUGUAUACAUCUCAUAACUAAAAUAAGAAAUGAGAAAUAUUUAGUUGACCCUUAUGACAAAAAUAAAGAAAGAGAGCAAGAGAAAACCUUAGAGAAAAGAGAGGAAGAAGAAGAAGAAAAAGAGGAGCUGAAAGAAAGAGAACCAACCUUAGAAAAAUAUCAACCACCUAUUCCUUUUCUAGAAGCUUUAAAAUCUUCCAAACCUCUCAUCCAAAAUAGUAAACUCUUAGAGAGCUUUAAGGAGACAAUAAUAACCAUUCCCUUAGAAGAAGCAAACAAACAUAUUCCUUCAUUCUCAAAAUAUGUUAAGAAACUUUGUACUAUCAAUAGAAAACCCAAGAGAGUCAAAUUGUCUGAAAGUGUUAGUUCUAUUAUAUUAAAUCAAAUUCCAAAAAAAAGAUCUUAGUGCACCCCUAAUCACUUGUGAUAUUAGAUGAACAUAUUUUUCUAGAUCUUUAUUAGAUUCUAGUGCUAGUGUCAAUGAUGCGGGACAAAGGUGUAAAGGAUAAAACUUUCACAUAAAUUGAUACCUCAAGUGCAAUCUCACGAUGGCUUAAAUUAAGUUAAGAGAAUUAUCAACUAAGAGAAUUGUCAAUCCCACAGACAAAGAAUGGUAAGGACUGUUAAUUGCCUAAAUAAGGAUCUAUAAUAUUAGAAUCAAGAUUACAACCAAUUCAAGAUGGAAUAACUAAGAGCAAGGAUUUUAAUUUUAACAAAACUUCACAAAGAUGAGAAAUAUAAACAUAUCUUGGUAAAUAAAUAUUUACACAACUUGAUUCAUUGAAUUUUAGAGAUGGCACAAACUCUUCUUGAUAAUCCCCACGAAAGAGUUGUCAAGAUUGAAGCAACGACGUGUUGGGAGAAAGAGAGAAAGGGCAUUGCACAAGGGAGAGAGAGAGAGGGAGAGGGUGACAUGCGGGAAAGAGAGAUAGAGAGAGAGGGUGACGGGCAGAAAGAGAGAGAAAAAGGGUGACACAUGGGGGAGAGAGAGAGAGAGAGAGAGAGAGAGANNNNNNNNNNNNNNNNNNNNNNNNNNNNNNNNNNNNNNNNNNNNNNNNNNNNNNNNNNNNNNNNNNNNNNNNNNNNNNNNNNNNNNNNNNNNNNNNNNNNNNNNNNNNNNNNNNNNNNNNNNNNNNNNNNNNNNNNNNNNNNNNNNNNNNNNNNNNNNNNNNNNNNNNNNNNNNNNNNNNNNNNNNNNNNNNNNNNNNNNNNNNNNNNNNNNNNNNNNNNNNNNNNNNNNNNNNNNNNNNNNNNNNNNNNNNNNNNNNNNNNNNNNNNNNNNNNNNNNNNNNNNNNNNNNNNNNNNNNNNNNNNNNNNNNNNNNNNNNNNNNNNNNNNNNNNNNNNNNNNNNNNNNNNNNNNNNNNNNNNNNNNNNNNNNNNNNNNNNNNNNNNNNNNNNNNNNNNNNNNNNNNNNNGAGAGGAGAGAGAGUAGAGAGAGAGAGAGAGAGAGAGAGAGAGAGAGGAGAGAGAGAGAGAGAGAGAGAGAAAGAGAGAGAGCUAGGGGCAAGGUGUGCAAGGAUAGGAGACUAUGUGAGAGGGGCAAGAGAGAAAGAGAGAAAGAAGGAAAGAGGAAAGGAAGUGUGCAUGGGAGAGGGAGGAAAAAAGGACGGAUGAGGGAGAGGGACAAGUAGAGAUCCGAGAGAGAAAAAGGGGAAAAAAAGUUAAUCAUUCAUCUUGUCUGUGCUGUUCACAAUAGUUUCUAUGCUUUAUAGAGAGAUGCAAAGGUAGUUAUGAGGAGACAACCCCAAAGGGUGCCAAAAGACACAUUAAAGAGAUGCUUUUGUCAAAGGACUCCUUGGAUGAAGAGGUGAGUCUCUGUUAGUAUCUCUUUCGUCCUCUUCUAUAACCUCUUCUUCCACUUCAUGGGCCCACUUAUUUAGGUGGAUCCUCUUAUUGGAUCAUACGGGCCCAAUAAUAGUUGAACCAAUAUUCCAAUUGAAGUCCACUAAAGGAGGUAGAAGUCAAGAAACUUAGAUUAAGUUGACUCCCAAAUUAUAAUCCACUCUAAUCCUUGCAGUCCUUUGUGGUAAAGUUGAUCUUGAUGUUCUUUGUUGAGCUCUUGGGAUGUCAAGGGGUUGAUUUAUGUUGACUUACUAAUUGAUCCCAUUAGUCAAUCUCAUGUGAAAAGCUUUAUAUGAUAAAUUUAAAUUUGGAGAUUUGGAAUCAGUCCUCUUAGAAUUACAACUUGUGGAUGAAUUUAUUGAGCAACCAUAUGGUUUGUUGGAAGAUGUGAUGAUUAAGGUAGAACAUUUCACACUUUUCAUUGAAUUUAUUGUGGCUGAUAUGAAAAUACCUGAUAAUUAGAGUAGAGCACCUAUAAUUUUAGGGAGACCCUUUUUAGCCACUGCCAAAGCCAUAAUGGAUUGGGAGAAAAGAAUAGUAGUAUUAAGGGUAAGAGAGGAGAAGGUUGAACUAAAUAUUUUGAGACUAAUGAAAUAUCCUAGUGUUAGCCAUAAAGAAGUUGGUAUUCGUAAUGUUUUUGAUUAAGAUGAUGCACUAGGAGAAAAUUAUUUUGAAAUUUGUAGAGUAGAACAAAAGGAACAACUUUUGGAACCUCCGAAACCCUUUCCUACCCCAAAUUUAGACCUAAAACUUUUACCCUCUUCAUUAAAAUAUAAUUUCUUAGGCCCUAAAAACACCUUACUAGUUAUUAUAUCAUCAUGCCUUACAUCUCAACAAGAGGAAAAAGUCAUGCAUGUAUUGAAGGAAAAUAGGGCUGCAAUAGCAUGGUCAUUUGAUAAUAUAAAAGGGGUACCUCCUAAGGUGUGUAGGUGUGUGAGCAUAGGAUAUUUUUAGAAGAAGGCUCUAAGCCAUCAAAGGAAAAUCAAAAGUGCUUAAAUCCUCAUAUGUUAGAAGUUUUAAAGAAGUAAAUCUUGAAAUGGCUUAAAGCAGAUGUAAUAUAUGUGCAAUAUUAGAUAGCUCUUGGAUAAGUCCAGUUCACAUGGUACCAAAGAAAACUAGCAUAACAUUGAAAAAAAAAUAAAAAAGAGGAAGAAGUGCAAACUAGAUUAGCCAACAGCUGGAGAGUAUGUAUAGACUAUAGGAAAUUAAAUCUGGUAACAUUUGCUUUUAAACAAAUGCCAUUUGAUUUUGUAAUGCUCCAGCAACAUUUCAAAGAUGUAUGAAUGCUAUGUUUACUAAAUUAGUGGGAAAUAGAUUGGAAAUUUUCAUAAAUGAUUUUUUAAUUUUUGGUGUAUCAAUUGAUAUGUAUUUAUUUAAUCUAACGUAAGUUUUACAAAUAUGUAUCUAAAAUAAUCUUGUAUUAAGUUGGGAAAAAUCUCAUUUUAUGGUGUAUGAAGGAAUAGUGUUGGGACAUAUGAGUCAGCAAGCAUGGGUUGAAGGUAGACAAGGCCAAAAUCGAAGUUACCAAGUAUCUACCUCUUCUCAAGAAAUUAAAACAACUUAGAGGGUUCCUCAGCCAUGGGGGCUUUUACAAGAGAUUCAUCAAAGAUUUUGCUAAGAUUUCUAAUUCUUUAACUAAUCUCUUGUCCAAAGAUGUAAAUUUUAUUAUUAAUACUAAUUCUAGGAUUAUUUUCAAUAAAAUUAAAGAUGCACUCAUUUAAGCGAACAUUUUGCAGGCCCCUAAUUGAAGUUUACCCUUUGAGCUAAUAUGUGAUGCAUUGAACUUUGUAGUGGGGGCAAUCCUAGGCCAAAGAAUCGACAAAAAAACUGGUGGCCAUCUAUGACGCUAGUAAGACCUUAGUGGAUGCUCAAGUGAAUUAUUCAACUACUAAAAUGGAAUUAUUAGCUAUUGUUUUUGCUUUAGAGAAGUUCAGGUCUCAUCUAUUAGGUAGUAAUAUUAUUAUUUUCUCUGAUCAUGCAGCUUUAAAGUUUUUACUUAGAAAGAAAGAAGCUAAACUUAGUCGUAUUAGGCGGAUAAUUUUGUUACAAGAAUUUGAUUUUGAGAUUAAGGAUAAGAAGGGAAGUGAAAAUGUAGUGGCUGAUCAUUUAUCCAGGAUGAUAGUAGAGGACUCACAGCCCAUUAGUGAUUGUUUUCCUGAUGAACAUAUUUUAGGAAUCCAAACUAGAAAAAUUCCUUAGUAUUCGUAUAUAGUGAAUUAUUUUUUUACAAGAAUGUUACCUUUAGAUUGGGACUACAAUGAGAGAAAAAAAUUCUUCAAAAAAUUAUCACAUUAUUAUUGGGAAGAACCUGAAUUAUUUAUUGAGGAGCUGAUCAAAUUUUGAGGAGAUGUGUGCUAGAGGCAUUUUGUCAUUCAUCACCAUGUGGAGGCCAUUAUUCCUCUAAAAUUAGAGCUUAAAAGGUCUCAAAAUGUGAGUUUUAUUGGCCAAAUUUAUUUAAAGAUUUUUAUGAUUUUUUUUUAAGAUGUUUAAGAUGUCAUGUGGCCAUUAAUUUGAGUAAGAAAGAUCAUGUCUCUUAAGCCAAUUUUAGAAGUAGAGAUCUUUGAUUUAUGGGGAAUUGAUUUCAUAGGACCUUUCCCAAAUUCAGAGGGAUAUGAAUAUAUUUUGAUGGUAGUAAAUUAUAUAUCUCAUUAGGUAGAAGCAAUUCCUACUAGAACUAAUGAUGAAAAGGUGGUAAUUAAAUUUAUUGAGCAUCAUAUUUGUUUAAGGUUUGGGUGUCAUAGGGCCAUCAUUAAUGAUCGAAGAUUACAUUUUAAUAACAAUAAAUUUAAGACCCUACUGAAAAGAUAUGGAGUUGAUCAUAGGAUAACUACACCUUAUCACCCGCAAGUCAAUGGACAAGUAGAAAUGUGUCAUAGAGAGAUUAAAAAAAUUCUGCAAAAAAACUAUAAGCUUGAUGGAAAGGAUUGGUCUAAGAGAUUAUAUGAUGCUCUAUGGGCAUAUAGGAUAGCAUAUAAAACACCUUUACGUAUAUCACCAUAUAGAUUAAUUUUUAGUAAAACGUGUCAUCUUCUCAUAGAGCUAAAGUAAAGAGCAUAUUGGGAAAUUAAAAGCUUGAAUUUAUCUAUUAUUGAUGCUGGAAAUAAAUGAUUACUUGAAUUGCAUGAGUUAAAUGAGAUAUAAAAUGAGGCAUAUGAUAAUUCUAAGAUUUAUAAAGUUAAAAUGAAGAGAUUUCAUAACAAACAAUUGAGGAGAAGAGAAUUCAAAGAAAAUCAAAAAGUAUGGAUUUAUAAUUCGAGAUUUAAACUCUUUCUUGGUAAGUUAAAAUCUAGAUGAGAUGGUUCAUUUAUUAUUAUUAAAGUCUUUGAAUCUGAUGCUGUUUUAAUUGAGGAUCCAAAAAUAGGGCAGCAAAUAAAAGUGAAUAGACAAAGAUUGAAACCUUAUGUAGAAAAUGAUCCACUUUUUCCACCAAUUUCAAUCAAUUUUAAGAUGUCAUCUCAUGAAACUAAUGAUUCUUUUAAUUCCACUGCACAAGCCUAGUAGUUAAUCUCUUCUUAUUUUAGUAUUUUUCUUUCGUGUGUGCUUUAUUUUGUGUUUGUGUUUUCUUUUCUAUGUAGGAGGGCCUUGAAAUCUCCAUGAUCUUGAGCUGCUAAGAGAAAUGAUCAUAGAAGUCUACAAAGAGCUACCUCCAUUCUUGCAAAUGAAGCAUCUUCCUUCGAUUUGAAGAAUUUUAAUUGUGUUAAUUCUUUCUACAUGCAUUGAGGAGCAUGCACAGAUAAAGUGGGGGUAUGAAUCAUUUAUAUGUCUUCUGUAAAAAAUUUAAAAUUCUGCAUGUGAUUGAUGCAUAUUAUGUUUUCAUAAGUGGAGAGAAUUUUCUCAUAAAAAUAUUUUCAAUCGUUAUCAACCCCACCUUAGUGAGUCCAUUCACCUAGAAAUCUUAGAAUUUAGGACAUAGAAGUUAGGCUAUUGCAGUGAAUUGAGAUCAACUCGGAAUGGCACAACCAUGGGACCUAAAUCAACUAUGAGGAUUUUUAUAUAAUGAAUGACCUCCUAGGAGUGAGAUAUCAAUCCAAUGAGCAUCAAAGGAAUAUGAAAAAUCAAAAGGUUGAAGUACUAUUGGUGUGGACCUGAGAGAAUUGAGUGAUAGGAAAUGUAGACCCCCUCCCUAUGUCAGCCGAUCCUACUUGGUGUGUGGAUUUUCAUUGAUCGAAAUUUUCCUUUUUAGGAAUAGUGGAAAGGCAUCGAAUCUUAGGUAUAGAAUGAUACCCAUACAUUUUCCAUCCACUAUACCUUAUUCAGUUCAUAUAUCUUAUUCAACCAUGCCAUUUUAUCCCUCUAUAAGACCCAAAUUUACCCUUCAGAUUUCCACAAUUAGGCCACCAUCUUUCCACUCAUUUUUCUUAUCCACUCAUGAUGGUUGUUAUCCCAAAUAGUACUUAUUCUUUUCAUAUGUCAUUUAUUUCUCUUUACACUCAUCUUUCUCAACAUUCUCUCUUCUUUUAAAGUUUUAUAUGUUUGAGUUAAGAUUUUCAUUCACUAAAAAAAAGCAGGAAAAAAAAAAGAAGAAAAAAUGAGGAGAAUAGAGGAAAGAAGUAAUAGAAGAGGAGAUCAGUGGGGAAUUCUUUUGUCUACCUAUUCCAUGUUCUCAAAUGACAUUAUGUAAAUCUUUUCAAUCCAAACAUCUUGAUUUGGGAGCAUAACUAUCAUGAAUGGGGCUUAGCCAUUGAUUGCAUAACCUAUCAUUGCCACUACAUUAAACCAUGCCCGUCAUCCUAUGACCUACAUUAUUAAUGUAUUUUCCUUUCCAUUGUCUUUAUUCAUCUCACCUUCCUUGUAUCACAUCUUUCUUCCCUCUUUCUUUUGUACCACAAGGAGAUGUCUUUGCACUCAUUUCCUUAAAACGGAAGGAAGGUUAAAGAGGAUUCCUAGCACCAAGUAGCCACAUAUAUGAGAGAGAGAGGUAUCCAUUUAGAGGGGGUUAGGAUUAGAAGCAUCAUUGAAAUGUGAGAAUCUUUUCAUGCCUAUAAUAUCAUACAUAGAGAUAUGCUCAUCAUUCUUUACUGCCCAUGGCUCUUUUCCAAAAUUUCUAAGAGGUUGAUCAAGAUGAUAGAACCUGGACUUUUAUGAGUUUGAUCAUUUGCUGAGGUGUGAUCAAUACUUUGAACACUUGUCUUCAUGUUUCAAGACCGAAAGGUGAAAGGAUAAUCUAAGGAGAAUUUAAAUGAAAUUGCUAAGAGACUAGCAAUGAGUAAAGUAGGAGGUAUUUGAUAAUUAUAAAUUAGUAGUUACAUCUAUGUAUUAAUAUCUUAUAUAUAAAUACUAAUUAGUGGGUAGAGAAUGUAAUUAAACAUGGUGAGGAAGUGUCCUCACUAUGGAAAAAGUAAUUGACAAUUGAUUCAAAUUUUUUAUGAAGGGCUACAUGAAAAUGCUAGAAAUAGAAUUGACAUGGUAUGUGGGGGAUCACUUUUAGACAAAUAUGAUGAUGAGGUGGAAGAAUCAAUUUGAUGAACUCGAUUUAGGAGGCUAAAUAAAUCAUCGUGAUGCCAAGUUCAUGUAAAUAAUAUUUAUGAAACCUCACUCUUUGAAUUAGGAUGAGUAAGGGUCAAUCCUCAAAGAGUGUAAGUAAUGAGAGUAUGAAUUUUAUUCCCUUUAUUCCUUACAUAUACCUAUGUAUAAGAUGAUGAUGAGUAGAAUCAGAUUUGAAAAUGAUAAAAAUAAGAGGGAUGGAGAAGGUGGUGAUGAGGAAAGAAUGAAUAGAACACAAGAUGAUGAUGGAAUAAAUAAUUAAACUACUUCAAACUAAGUGUUAAACUAACCAUAGAGAGGAUUACUAGGAUGCUCUAAAUCUGAAUCUUGCACAAACCUCAUUGCACACUAGUCCUAGGCUAAGUGAUGCUUGAUCUAUGAUGAUCUUGUGUGCUCCAAGUAGUCUUCUCUCCAUGAUAAUCUUGAGCACGAAAAUAUCAUUGACCAAGGCUUGAUUUCUCUCUUUUUUCCUUCAGCUAGCUGUUUUUAGAGAGAGAACUAAAAAGCACUUUUCAAGAGGAGGUGAGAUGUCUUAAUCCCCUAGAGAAUUAUGCUAUUCUAAUGGAUAGUUAUGAUGAAUAACUAUCUCUCUUGGUGGAUGGCCUAGAUUCUUCAUGAGGGUGGCACUCUAAUAUUCCUCUCAACCUUAUCUUAAGGCGCCCUAAGAUGGAUGGCUUAAAUAUCAUCUCUUGAUAUCUUACUAAGUCCAAAUGGGCCUGACCAAGGUGACACCCUCUCUUAAGCCCAUAAACAUAUUAGGUCAGCCCUCUCCAUAAGAUUUGGGCUUUUCCUUGGGCUAAGAACUUGGGCUUCUUUCAUACUUCCAACUCAUAAUAAAACUUCACUAAGUCCUUAAAAUUAAAUAAUUAUUACGAGAAUGUGAGAGAAUUACCACUCAACUUCAUGAAAGUCAAGUGGGGUUUGUCUCAUAAUAUCAAUAAAAUAAGUAAAAAAAAUAUAUUAGAACUUAAAUGAUAAAACAUUAUGAAUAUCAUAAUGAGUUGGUAAUAUAUAUUUAAUUACAUUCUCUACCCAUUAAUUAGCAUCUAUAUAUGAGAUAUUAAUGCAUAGAUGUAACUACUAAUUUAUAAUUAUCACUACGUCUAUCUACAUCUCUCACACAAGAGUGUAUCAUCAUGAGCUUCAAAUGAAUAUAGAUUUCUACAUUUGAGCUACAUUCAACUUUGGUGAUCCAAGAAAUAUUUAUCUCAAGGCUUAAUACUUUCCAUAAACUAUUUUUGCAUUCAUCUCAAGAGCCAUUCAUCAAGAACUCUGAGAGAAGUUAUAUACUAGAAUGCUCAAUAAAAGUUUUUCACCAUGAGCUUCAACCUAGCAUAGAACAUUGCACUCAAGCUUCAAUCAACUUUUUUCAUCUAAAGAAUAAUUUAUUUCAAAGGUUGAUACUCUCCAUCAAGCCAUAAGUACUUGGGUGGUGUUUGAAUAUUUUCUGUCAUUGCUAAGAAAAUUCAACAAAUUUAAAAUUUAUAAAUUCUGGAGAAUAAGGCAAUUUUUAAUAAAGAAAUAUUUUUAGUGGAUUUUCCAAGUUGAUCAUAGGGAAGAUGAAGUAUUAUUAAUUAUUUAUCAUUUUUAUUUGAUAGAUUAUUAUUUUUAAUUAUUUUCUAGUCAAAUUAUAGCAAAAUAAGAUAAAAUUGUCAAUUGGGGGGGGGGGGGUAUUGAUGUCAACUGACAUCAGCCUAUGAUGAACAAGCCCAAGUUCAUAGUUGACGGAAAUAUGUUGACUCGUAAAUGGAUCAAAUCGAAGCCACAAUGAUUGAAAUAAGAAAUUAAUAGAAAAGGGUUUUUUUUCAAAACAUGAUGAAGGAUCAAAAGAUGUAUUAUUGGAAUCUAAAAAUAGUAAAAAUGAACAUAAAUUAAAGUUUACGAAAGAAUUGGGUAGUGCAAUCAUUGAUCGGAUUUCUGUCCAAAUAUGAUCGAUUUGUGUAGGUGUAGUGCACCGAUUGGUUUCCUACACCUUCUCCAAUUGAUGGUUGAUAAUCUCUACAAUUGUCAUUUGCUGAAAUCGAGUAGCGAAGGUGAUUCAACUCUAAGCAUAUUGUGGCGUUCGAAGAAGGAUCCUUGGAAGAAAUUCUUCACCAUUUGGAUCCAACGAAGAAUGGGAAAGAUUUAUGAAAGAAAUUCAGCCUCUAUAACAGCUGAAUGAAGGGGAAAUUUGGACGAAAUCCAUCUUUUAUAUCGGAUGGAUGGAUUGGGCAAAAUUCGACGUCUAUAGUGGCCGGAUGAGAGAGGUUUUGAUCCAAGACGGGCGUAGAAUAAUCGAGUAUGCCUUCUUCUCCUCUAGAAACACAUUUUCAAUCUUCCUUUAUACAUAUUUCACUGAUUUAUUACAAUAAAUUGUCGUAUUUGUUGCCGCAAUUCGUGCAUUCGCCGUUAACACAAAAACUCUAAAAAGAUUUGAUUUUUCGUUAGUUUUAAAUGAUUAUAAACUAUAAAAAUGACAUGCAUUUAAUUAUAACAUAAUUUUGAAUUGAGAUUUGUCAAUUUACUUGGCGAAUUUCUCUCUCGAGAAUCAACUGAUCAUUUGGCGUGAUUAUUGCCAAUUUUUCAAGAUUUUCACUGAUUUUAUGAAUUUAAUGAUUUUUCUGAAAUUUCCUUAAUAUUUCUAUAAAAUCAGAAUAAACGUAGAAAUAAUCUCAAAAAUAAGAUAAAACAUAAAAAUAUGUAAGAAAUAUUUUCAUCAUAUUACAUGACUAAUUUCGUCAUGUAAUUCCUAGAAAUUAACAUUAAAAACAUAUAAAUCAUUUCACAUCUAAUUUUUCCAAUUUAAAAUAUCAUGCAAGAAUUUUAAUUAAAAUUAAAGUAUAAAUCACAGAAAUACUGAGGACAUUAUCAUGUAAAUAUUGAGAGUUAUCAGGUGGUGAGGGGAGAAAAGAUUUAUGUGAAGUCAUGAGGUGUUAAUAGUCUAAAGGUGCAUGCGAAGGGUUUGGUAUUUGAAGAAAUUGAAUUAGAUUAUUUGCAUGAUUGAGUUUGUGAGUCUCAUUAUAUAUUUUAUGAAGAAAAUGGUAAAAAUAUGGUAGAAAGGAUCUUAUAGGACCAAACAUUGCCUAAUGAGUCCCAAACUAGUAUAAGUCUCGAUGUUCUUAGUGAUAAAGAGAUAGAGAGAGAGAGAGAGAGAGAGAGAGAGAGAGAGAGAGAGUAGUNNNNNNNNNNNNNNNNNNNNNNNNNNNNNNNNNNNNNNNNNNNNNNNNNNNNNNNNNNNNNNNNNNNNNNNNNNNNNNNNNNNNNNNNNNNNNNNNNNNNNNNNNNNNNNNNNNNNNNAGAGAGAGAGAGAGAGAGAGAGAGAGAGAGAGAGAGAGAGAGAGUUGUGAAGGAACCUACAGAGAGAGAGAGUGCCAUUAGAGAAUGUGUUAACACAUCAACUAGUAGGAAAAUAAGGAGAAUUGGAAAGGUUAGCAUAAACCUAAUACAUCCCUUAUUGGUGUUUCAUUUAGUCCUUUUUAAACCUAAUAAUUGAUAUCAAAGCCAAGUUGAUAAGUGGAUAUUAAAAUAUAAAAGAGCAGAUCUUAUCACUAAUGAAACACUUGAAUUCUUUAGGCCACUUAUGUUUGAUGAAACUAAUUAUACAUUCUGAAAAACUAGAGUUAAGAUUUAUGUCAUAAUUUAGUGAUUAAAGGUAUGGAAAUAAUUCAAGAUAAUCUAUAAAAUAUAUAAAUGAGUUUAUGGAUGAACAAACAUGAAUUUUGAAUUUAAGGGCAAUGAAUAUCCUAUUUAGUGCUAUUCUUGUCUCAAGUUGUUAGAUAACUAAAGAUAUUUGAAACAAGUUGGAGGUAAUAUAAAAAGAAAAUAUCAGGUAAAAAUUACCAAGACCAACAUCUUAGUAAUUAGGUAUGAAUGAUUUCAAUUGAAAGAAAGAGAAAAUAUUCGGAAUCUUGUUAAAAGAUUUAAUGAAAUAAUCAAUGGCAUAUAAAAACUUGAUAAAAUAUUUAAUAAUAAGGAAUUGAAUCAAACUAAUUUGAUCAUGAAUAGAUGAUUGGAUGGAAAAAAUAUUAUAGAAUUUAAAAAUAUUUUAAAUUCCUCAUCUUGAUGAAAUCAUUACAUCAUUACUAACACAUGAGAUUGAUGUAGUUAAGAGUAAAUAUUUGUUUAAAAAAUAUUUUUAAACUACUCUUAAAUAAAUUGAAACUUAUAAUGAUGAUGAAGAGAUUUUCUUAUUUUCUAGACAAAUGAAUAGAAAAUUGAAAAGAAAGAAAAAUUUAUGUUAAAGAAUAUUAUAAAUAAAUUUUCUAAAAUUUAUGUUGAUUUGUGCUUUAAGUAUAAGAAUUUUUCCUUUGUGGAUCAAAUUCUUCUCUUGAAAAUACAAAAAAUAUAUAUUUAUUGACUAUAAGAAAGCCAUAACUAUAGGAUGAAUCUAGAAGUUAAAGAUCUACAACUAAAUCAUUUUUCUCAACUAUUUAACAUAAUAUGCAUGAAAGGUUAUUUCUAAAUUGAGUAUAUAAUAGUAGAAGGUUCAAGGAAACCAAGAGAGGAUGAAUGCAAAGAUUAAAUAUUUUAUGCAAAUGAUACUAAGAUUGAAAAGAAAAAUUUGAUGUGCAAUUAUUUCAUAAUAAAUUAUGUGGCAGCCAUAAAGUAUUAAGCAUGCUUCUUGAAAGUUAACUAUGACUAAUAAAAGAAGGCUCAUGGCUUAAUUUGAAAAAUGUUAGAACUAGUUUUAAAAGUGAUAAUAUAUCUAAAACAUGCUAUAUAUUAGUACUUAAGGGUAGUGUAGAUAGACCUAAAGUAAUUUGGGUCCCCAAAAUAAAUAUUUAAUUAUUUUUUCAAGAGCAUCUUUAAUGUACCAACUCAUAGUAGUUAUUAGACAGUGGGUGUUUAAGACACAUGAUUACAGAUAAAAUGAUAAAUAUAUUUCUAUAUGAAACAUCCCUUUAAAAGAUUAAUUUCUAAUUAAGCAUAUUUUACUUGUUGAUGGAUUGAAAAAGAACUUAACAUUAAUUAUUUAUGUGAUAAUGAUAUUAGAGUUAUAUUCAAGAAAUAUAGAUGUUUGAUUUAAAAAGAUAAAUAAUGAUAAAAAUUUUUAAUAGGUUAUAAAUUAAACUGUGUUUAUUUUUAGACUUUAAAAAGUUGACUAAAUCUAAUGUUUAUCUAAUGGAUGAAAAAAAUAAAAAAUAAAUAUAUCUUUGGCAUAGAAAACUCAUACACAUAAAUAUUAGAAUGAUUUAUAGAUUGUCAAAAAUAGGUUUGAUUACAAGACUACUAAAACCUUAUAACAUAAAAAACUUUAUAGGUGAGAGCUACAUGCAUCUCUACGUAUGUCAAAGGCACUUUUAUAGACUUUACAUUUGAUACUUAACUCAAUUCUUGAUAUAUUGUAUGAUCCUCUGAUAACAUGCAUUUUGCACUUAGAAAUGUAUGAUUAUGAUUUUUUUUUAAAACAUAAUUUACAUCAUUUUGACGCAUGUUAUCAUAAAAUUCAUAUGUUUUCAUGAAUAUUAUGCUAUUUCACCUAAGUUGUCAUUUUCAUGAUUUUCUUGAUAAUUUUUAGAUUAAGUGUACUUGACCUUUCUUAAGGUCAAAUACUCUGAAAUAUAAUUAUAUGCAUUAGUUUUAAUGAUUUCAAGGCUUAUGUGAAUUGAAGGAUUUAAGGAAGAAAGCAAGGAAAAGAAGAAUUCAAGUCAACCUUUUGAUUUUAAAAACUUAAAGUCAAAGAAACUAACUUACUCGGUUUUUUUAUUUUUAAGUUACUAAUCACAUGAUAAUUUAGAAUAUUAAAUUUAUGAUCUGUUAUCAAAAGUUUCAUUGAAAAAGGCCUUAUAUUUUAAAUUUUAUGAAUUUUGGAAGUUAUAUUAAUUUUUCUGAAUUUUCUCUAUUUUCUCAAAAUUAUUUAAGGCCUCAAAUCGGCAAAAGGAAGCCCCACGAUUACGUGAUCUGAUGUGGCAUGAGAUACUUGUGGCAGCCAAUGUGGCAUGCAGCAAUGCCUACAUGGCACAUGAGAGUGCUAUGUGGUGCAAAGAAGGCUGCUGACACAUUAGCACCUGCAUGGCAUGUCGUUAGAGAGUGUCAAAGGGCAUUAAAGGAACAAUGACACAAUUAGGAGUGUUGGAUCAGAGUCAAUCCUGGAGUCAAAUCUAGAGCAUUGAUUUGAUACACCAGAGUUUAACCAGCGAAAUGGUGGUGCAUGAUGUGGUGCUCUGGGAAUGCUCUAAUGGUGAUCUAAUGGGUGCUUUCCAAUGCAAUAUUUCUUCUUCAAACAAUGCAGUGAUGUGGCAUCUUAUGAGUGCUUCAUCUCAGAUCUAAUGGGUGCAACUUUCACAUUGUUUCUUCUUCAAACGGUUGGGCAACAUGGUGUAAUCUCAGCUCUGACGUCCUUAUGAAGAUGAAAUCUAAUGGAUGCGCCCAAAAUCACCUAUAAAUACUCUUUCCUCACCAAAAAAAACUUUUUUUGACAAUUCUGAUUGAUCAGACCAAAAAGACACAUGCUCUCUUGAAUCAUUUGAUUAUUUUGUGUUCUAUACUCAUUUCUGCAUUCAUUGAGCCCAAUAGAUCAAGAUUUCAAUGAGAAACUGGAGAGAAUUUGCUGCUUGAACUUAAAACUUCGUCCAAGAUCAAUCCUUUCAUCUAGUGAUUAAUUGGAUCAAUCUCUUGGUGUUUUCAGGUUAGUUAAGUCUUAUUCCCUCUAAUAUAUCAUCAUUAAGGUUUAAUUUAUUUUUCAAAGCUUAGAUUAGGAGAAUGUCAUCAUUUAUUAUCACUUUCUCUCUCUUAAUCCAUGAUUUUUCUCUCUCUAACUUCUCUCUUCGAUUUCUCCCUUGAUUUAAGUCUGAUUUUCUUCAGAUUUAAUUCAUAGGAAAUAUCUGUCUACUUUCUAAAUAUAUGACUUUCAUCUUAAUCUAAUUCCAUUUCAUCGUCCAAUUUGAUUGUAUUUAAAUAAGUCUCAAAUUCAACUAUAAUUCUCCAUGAAUUUUGACCCUUACUCACAUUAAUGCUAAAUUAAUCAAUCAAUUUAGUGAGUUAGGUUUAAUUUUUCACCUUGUUAUAUGCAUGAUUUUGGCUCAUUACCCUCCUCCCAUUGUUGAUAAAAACACCAUCAAUACUUUUUUACCCUAAUUGAAUGAUCCAUAGAAUUCAACUAUGUUGAGCAUAAAUUUUUUUUAGUUUUCAUCACCAUAUUGAGCUAUUUAUUUCAUAGAUAAGUCAUCUUCUCAAGCAUAGAAACAAUGCACAUGACAAGCUCUUUGAAACAUUUGCAUUUAUCUUAUAGUACAUAUAAUGGAUUAUAUUCUAUUAUCCUCAAGAUAUUGAUAAAUCUACUUUUUAUAUAAUGGAUUAUAUUCAUAUUAAUAGUGAGUGGCCUUAUUGCUCAUCUUCCACCUCAAAUUCUUCAUCUUUUAAUCUCAAUUUCCUUCACAUCAUUUCCUUGGUUGAAAAUUUUACUUUAGCAUUGAAUAAGUAUGGCAACAUCUCGAAAUGAUGGAAGAAAGCUUGAAGAUAUUAAAGACAUCACCUUGAAACUAAAAUCAUUUUUCUCAUAACUUUCACUUCGGAUGUAGCUUAUUUAUUUCUUAUUAUAUUAUUAUCGUGGGAUUUAUAUGCAUACUUUUUGAUAUGAUAAAAAGAGAGAUAAAUAUUUAAGACUAAAACUCGAAUGCCCAUGAACUUAAGGGAAGUACUUAUUCAAUGGGAGAAAUGAAUGCUUGAGUGACUAUUUUAAAUGGUUGAACACAUUAUUUGAAAUGAUUUUAUUUAUCUGUAAUGAUGAAAAUUUUCUAUGUUGAUUUGUGUGGAAUAUAAUAUAUAUUAUGUCUUUUUCACUUGGAUCAACACGUAAAUAAAUUUUCUCAAAUAUGUUUUUGAAGUAUCAAAGAAAGGUAGAUUGUUGAUGCUUUUAUUUUUAAUAUUAAAAAUGUGAUUUUUUAAACCAAAAUAUGUUGAAUAUUUAUUUAAUUUCAUGUGGGAUGAGAGUUAACAUUAAAUGAUUAGUAUUUUUAAGAUUAGUUUAUAUGUAUGAUGUUCAAUGAUUUUGAAAUUCUAUGGCCAGAAAGCAAAAUCAUAGGAGUGAAUAUUUGAGAUUUAUUAACUUGAUUUAGGCUGAAACUAAUCUUAAAAUGCAUCAUUAUAUAGAUUCCAGAAAUGAUAAUGGAAAGUUGAAUUUUAGUGGACAUGAGAAGUUACUAGUUAUUAUCAAACCUAGAAUCUAGAUGAUGAAGCAUUGUCAAUUUUUGAAAAUUAAAUGAUGGGCUAAAUGUGCUUACCUAGACUUGAACUCAAAUGUAAACAUAUUUAUUUACAAGAAAAAAAAUUUCUAGUUUGAAUUUCAAAUUAGUCGGAUGAAAGAAUGGAGAGCUUUGAAGCAAAAAAAGACAUAGGUCACUACUUCAUAUUUGAUCAAUUAUAAGAUUUUCAAAAUCAGCUGACCAAUUUUCAAGAUGAGAAAUAAUUAGAAAAUGAUUAAUAUAUAAAAUAGAAAGUUUGAAAGGAAACUCAAGAACUCAUUAAUGCCUAUGUACAUCUUUUUUACAAGAGUUUAUCACCUUGAGGUUCAAAGGGAUAUGGAUCACUGCACUUGAGCUACAUUGGACUUUAGUAAUCUAAGGAAUUUUCAUCUCAAAGACUGAUACUCUCCAACGAUUAUCUUCAGAUCCAUAUCAAGAGUCAUUCAUCAUGAACUUCAACAUAUGUCAUUUACCAUGAGCUUCAACAAAAGUCUUUUAACAUGAGUUUUAACAAAGGACAUAAUAUUACAUUUAAAUUCAUUCAACUUUGUUAAUACAAAGAACAAUUCAUUUUAAAAGUUGAUACUCUCUACCAGACCUUGAUGUACUUAGGUAAUGAGGGGAUAAGGAGUUAAGUGAAGGCACAAAGUGUUAAUAUCAUUCUUGUGCCUAUGAAGGGUGUGGUCUCUAAAGAGACUAAACUUAAUCAAACAUGGUUCUGCCCAUGUUUUGAUUGAUAUGAGCUUUACUUUUAUAUCUACCAGUUUUUCUUAAGUUUUUGUUAUUUUUCAACUUUUAUUUAAUGGUUCAAAAUCAAUUUUUUUAAAGAGGGUCAUGUCUAAAAAUGGGUAGAUAUAAAAGUAACACUCAUUUUUCACUAUAGAUAAUAGUCAUCUUCUCUAUCUCCUUAUUGGCACAUGAUGACACAAGGCAUACAAAAUUAUGUAAAUAAAAUUAUAAAAAUAAUUUUAAAAUAUUAUAAAUCAUAUUAGACAUGUAACCAAUUUAAAUAUUUUUAAAGGUAACAAAAAUAUUCAAUUUGUUGGAUAUAAAGUUACACCUAGCUGAUUUAAUUGAUUGGAUCUGAUUAGCCUCAUAUAUUCAUCUUGUAUUAUUCUAUUUUCUUAUUUGAAAAUAACCAAUGAAAAAUAAGAAAUUUUAUAAUGAUUUGGUUCUCAUUGACAUACCCCACUCUCUAAAGAUGCUCAUCCUUGAGUUCCACUAGUCACUUGGUAUUUGACCAUUGAUCACAAGGGUUAAGUUGCAAUAAAAUAUCGCUCUAAACUCUCACUAGAUUCACAAUUCUAUAAUGCCUAACUCCUGAUCAUAAGGUUCAACUUCUUUGAAUGACUAGUCAUGCUUAUCAAAUGUAUAACCACAAAAUAAUACAAAUAUCUCAUCUUGUGGGAAUUUCAAAAAGAAUUUAUGUUGAUGAGUUAUUAGAAUUUGAUGAUGGAAUUGAUUUCUAUUUUUGAUUUUAUGGUCCUCUUCUUUAACUAAAUCUUUUUGGAUGACAAAGACAUCUCAUUAAUUUCUAUUUGAGAUGAAAUUAUUUAUAUUCUAAUCGUAUUCCCAGCUUUAUGUCUCUAUGGUUGUGGCUUUAUUUCUAAAUUUUAGUUAAAAUUCUUCUUUUUGAAUGUUGCAUGAUGUUAGUAAUAAGAAGGUAUAGUCAAGCCUAUAUUAAAAUGGAUGCAAAGUGCUCAAUUUAUCAAUGUAUAUUUGAUCUGGUCUUUCUUUAUUUUCUAUCUUCUCAAUAUUCUCUUUCCAAAAUUUAGAAAAUCAUAUGAAAAUAUAUAAAUAUGAUGCCAAUUUUAAGUUUGUCUUUUAUGUCGAAACCCAUCGUAGAAUCUCAAACCUAUAACACAUAUAUCCAAUGGUAAUGGGUUUGGUGAUAUCACAAUAAUGUGCAAUAGGCAAAAAUAUAAUUCAUAAAUAUUCAUUCAAAUGAAUUAAUAAUUUCAAAUACAAAUAAUAUACACUGUUGCAUACAAAACAUGAACAUGAAAUAUUACUCGAAGGGAUAUAAGUAGUUUAACCACACAUUUGUGAUUUCUUAGGAUUGAUAAACAAUACGUAAAUUCGUGUCAAGAAUAAUGUAGUUCAAAACAAACCAAUGAUUUCAAGUACAAAUUCCAUGUCUUCAUUUUCAAAUUGUCAACAUGUGAUAAUAUGUUCAUAUUUUCAUUCUAAAAAACUUCAUACAUGAACAUUUUUUGUAGUGAAAAGUAUUUUUUCAAUGUAGGGAUAUAAUAUAAUUCUGAUUACAAAUACAACUACUAUAUAAAAGAAUGAUUUUGAGUGCAUUAAUUAUGAAUCAUAAGCAUAAAAAAUGCUUGUGUUCUCAUCUAAACACUUUAAAUGUGAUAAAGAUGUUCUCAAAGAUCUCAUAGCCAUUACUUUUACUUGUGACUGGCCAAAUGGAUUAUCAUGUUAUGUUUAAUCAAAUAUAACUAUAAUCUAAUCACUUGAUUAGAAAUAUAUAUGUGAAUUCGUUACCAUUAAAAUAUUUCAGGACGAUCAAAACUCCUAAAACCAACACACUUGAGCAUUGUACUGAAAAUGAUGAUUUCAUCCUUGAGUUGAACUUUUUUUCUCAAUUUUAAGGAUUUACUCGAUAAAAAUCAUCAAGAUUAUCCAAUAAAAUGAUUUUGCAAUCAUAAAGUUCAUCAAAUUAUUCUUUAAUAUGUUUAGAGAAAAUAUAGAGCCAUCCCACUUAAAUAUCAUGUUUUUUCAGAAAAAUGCAUCUUCACAUUUUUUUUUCUUCCCCCAAACUGAGAAUGUGACCACAGCGAGAAGAUGUGUUCACUAUUUGCCGUUCAGAUCGAGAUCGACGGUCGCAGACUCAGCUCCCUGCUUGGAGUUGGCAGCUCGGGGUCGUGGCUUCCCGCGGGCGGACAAACCGGUCGCCGUCGGCGUACGAUUCCAGCGCGACGGCGUAGCGUGCGCGUGGUGGUUAACGCGCGCCUCGUGGCGGGCCGUGCGCCGGGAGAGCGACGGCGGAAAAACAACCUGACCAAGGAAAGGCGGACGGGGGGCGGAGAGUAUCAACCACCAUCCUGUCAGUGACAGUGACGGCGCAGGGGGAGUUAGGGACGAAGCGAUGUGCACCGGGAAUUACACGUCAUCCAAAAUUUAGCCCUAUCGGGAAUUUUAGCGUUGACUCAGGCCCUUUGGGUGGGACCUUUGCCGGUCAAAAGCGGUGGCUGUCGGGGAAUAGACGAGAAUGCCCUCGUCGAGGCAGGGAGGGUACCCCAUCAACAGUCCUGUCCGCUUUCGGGUUCCAUUUUUUCGCGGGAAAGGUGAGGUAGGGGAGCACGGGGUCUCGGAAGGGAGGAGGGAGGGAUUUCGAGGGAGUUUUUGGGGCGGCGGGGGGGAGGAGGGGGGGAGGAGGGAGGAAGCGCCAGCAGGGGCCCUGCGGGAUGGGCAGGGGGGCUGGCGGGGAGGGGAAGAUGGAGAGCGGGGGACGUGGGAGGCAGCAGAUGAGAGCCAUGCUCCGUAAGAACUGGCUUCUGAAGAUCCGCCACCCCUUUGCCACCGCGGCCGAGGUCUCCAUCGCUCUCUUCCUCCCCCGUCCUUCCUUCCUUCCCCCUCACCUGUUCUGCCUCUGUCGUCGCUCGUCACCUUCGUCUCCAAUUGUGGGAGAAAAGCCGAUUUGAUUGUGCCUGCACACGCUGGUUUCUCUUUUUCUCAGGAUUUGCUGAGCUUCAUUAUUCUGCUCUCUUGCUGUGGAGCCCUUUUGGUCGAUCAUUCUGCGCUAUUCUUUUGGGUGACUCUGUUGUUCGUGAAUACUUGCAGCUGCUGUUGCCCACGUUCGUCAUGUUGCUGCUGAUAGUAGUGAGGACUCGUGUCGACACCCAAAUCCAUCCAGUGCAGGCGUAUGCAUACUCGCCUACUUGCCACCAUUCUUUUUUGUGAUUCUGACCUAUCAUGCACUCGUUUCUCUUCCUCUCUUAUUGCUUAUAUUUUCUGCCAAUUGGCUUACCACCUUUGGUGUUCUCUGGCGUUCGUCUUACAGAUACAUUCGCAGAGGCAUGUUCGUGGAAGUAGGAAAGAGCGAGGUGUCCCCAGAUUUCGACAGUAUCCUUCAAUUAUUGGUAUCUCAGGGUGAACAUCUGGCCUUCGUGCCCGAUUCAGAUGAGACGAGGGCUAUGAUUGAUGUUCUAUCCUUAAGGUUCCCCCUUUUGAAGGUAGUCUCAUUUUGAAUCAAUCAAAUACAUCAAAAAGUUUCGUAACGCGACCCUGAAAGUCAAUGAAUGAAUUUUUUUUAUCAUCUCUCCAGCUUUCCAGAUCGCUCUUCGCAUGUACACUCUUUUGUUUUGAAAGAAAGGGUCAUUUCUUCUCACACUUCACCAGAAUAUCUUCUCUAAGCUGCGGUCAUGUUGGUGAAUGAAGAUAUGAUAAGCCAAAUUCAUUUAAUCUUCCGGCUUCUUGUCAAAGUAGGAUGAUGAUGCCCAUGCGUAUGAUUGACUUUGAGUUUCCAGAAGAUUGGGCCACACAUUUUCUUUUUUGAAAUAUCUCUUCUGUUGAAAAUGAACCAUCGAUACAAUUUUACCAAGAUCUGGGAAUACACUCUAAAUCUUUUCCAUAGAUUGGGUCGAGUUGUGGAUAUGUUCAGGCCUUAGGCAGCACCUUUACGUUUUACCACAUUUAUUAAAAUAUCCCUCCUCUGCUUUAUUGAAAGGUGUCUGACAUAGGAAAUUUGUCUUUCACUUAAAUGGAGCAUACUGCUUCUUGAACUGGUUGAUCCGUUAUUAAUUGGGAGCUCUGAGUUCCUAUUGGAGUGCGGUUCUUCGUUUUUCACAAAUAAGCUGAUAUUUGUGGAGAGUUGAAAUUUUGCAUUUUUUGUGGGUGGCAUGGUCAAUUUUGAGUGCACUAGGUUUAAUUCCUGCAUUCUCUAUAAAAUUCCUAUUACUUCUACUGGCCGUAUUUGCUUUUUUGUCUUUAUUAUUUGCAUAGGUUGAAUUUCUGCAUGAAGUGCAAUAACUAGAUAUCUUUUUGACCAUGUAGGCUUUUUGCAGAUCUCAAUGAUCUUCAGUGUCAUUGGUCUAUUAUUAGAUGGACUAUGGAGGAUAGUUUGAUUUUUUUUAUUUUGGCUCUUUGCCCUUGUUUAGUUCAUAGGUGGUUAAUCCCUAGCAGAAAAACUUUGGCUGAGUGAAGCAUGUAGAAAAAUUACCUCAUUGAUUUUACCUUUUAAUCAUCUGUCUAGAAGUGACUAUCAAAAAUCUCCUUGAACUGGAACAUGUUUGUCUGAACCAUGUGGGAUCUGGAAUAACUUAAUUUUUCUUUUACCUUUAUUUAUAGUUUAUUUUAUGUUCAAAUGUAAUUUCAAAAAACUGAAAAUUUCGAAAUGACGAUGGAAACUUUAUUGCAUCUUUAAUCUCUAGUUGGGUUUAGUGUUGCACAGAAUCUAUUGCAGAGAAGAUGCGUUACGAGUUUGUAGAGUAUUCUUACAAUAUUUAAUGUUGACAAACAUUUCCUCUAUUUAUUUAUUUAUUUUGUUAAUAGGUGGUUGGACUGAUAUACAAAGAUGAACUAGAGCUUGAGGCGUACAUUCGUUCUGACUCUUAUGGUGUCUUGGAUCCAACCAUGUAAGUUUUACUUUUAUAUUAUUUUUUAAUGAUAUUACUUGUUACUUCUGGUUUUUAUCAACAAUGUUAAUCCCACGCAUCUGAAAAGUGAAAAAUUAGGCCUAUUAAUUUUUCUCCUUUGUUUAUUUUGGGUGACAAGUAGCAUUAUUUUUCUUGAAAUGUAAAAUCUAGGUGCCCCCAACAAAAGAAUUUUAGUGGCACUGCUACAAUUUCCGCAGUAACUUUAUCUCUUCUUUUUCCCCUCACUUGAGGGAUGCAAUGGCUAUUGUGUAUUUGGGAUGCUUUGGAUUAGGAAUAUAGAGGGAUGAGAUGUUUGCAAUUUUUUUAAAAUGACGAUUGACUAAAUUUACAUAAUUUUAGGAUAAACUUACAACAUAUAGACGGUGUCAACUGACCAGGUUACAUCAGAAGCCUAUGUUGCCGUCAAAGGAUUGGAUGCCUGAGCUGGGUAAGUUUAUUGGGAAUUUGACUCGACAUGAAAAACCUAGCUGUAGGAUUAAUUAGCAAUUUUAAUCAAGAGCCUUCACCAAAUUCUAGUCCUGAGGUUUUCUGGUCAUGCUGGGAAUGAAAGGUUUGGGUAACCUGGGUCCUUGACAGUUUUUGCCGACUUUCUGAUGGAUGCCUCUCACAAAUGGGAUUAAGAGAAGCAGCAUUGAAAAUUUUAAAGACCUGAGGGAGGCUGUUGUAGAAUGGGCAUCAGGCUGUGGAAUGGAAGAAUGACACUGACAAUCAAUUGGUACAUUUUUACUGUAGUAAACCGAAAAAUUCUCAAUCCAAUGAGUGGAUGAUAUAUAUAGAAAAACUACUAGCGUGGUGGCUGCAACUUCUUCAUUCCAGUGAUGGGAUCUGCAAUGAGCAGUUUUUCAUGUGAAAUGUUGGUAGAACACCAAUUGAUAUUGAAGGAAAACACUUCUUGAAUUGAAGAACAAGGUACACAGAACAAGAAUACAGAGGGUAGAAAUGACCAGUCGGAGUGACUGAUCACUUUGGAGGAUAUUCGAGAGAUCCUCCCACUCUCCACUUGGUCCGUUCUCUCCGGAUGCCCUCUCUUGCUGACCUACCUCCCUUCUUAUACAUCCUUGGUCCCUUGUUUGCCACUUCCACUAACUGUUUCUUGGAACCGGUUCAACUCCUCUGUCAGUUACUGACCCAACCGGUUCACCUUCUACCAGUUGGGGGCACCACUUACGACGUUGCUGAUAUGUAAUUAUCAGUGUCAUACCAUUACUCCCCUCCUUAUCAUUCAACUUGUCCUCAAGCUGGAAAUCCGGAAACCUCUUUCGCAUCAGUUUCACUGAUUCCCAAGUUGCCUCAAGUCUGGCUUUAUCAUUAAUCAUAAGAUUAACGGUUUUUGUACUCAACUGCCACUGGCGGCAUGUUUCGAAUGCCAAGUAUGGGCAAAUUGCACUGGCUCCAUAUCCAAUCAAGCAAGCAAAUUGAUGAGUACUGAAACACUGACCAGUCAGCAACAAUGGAAGCUGACAUGCGCAAACCAUUUUGGAUCAAAUGCUGGUGAACAGCACCAACUGCUAGAAGUAUAGGGAUAGCUGGAUGAGUUGGUUCUAUCUCCUCAGAGCAGUCAGAAAGUAUAACCAGCUGUGACCUGUUACGAACUGCUUCAUCAGCAGCUUCACAAAGUUCUUCCAGUGCCUUCCAUAAUGAGCCAUCAAUACCUUUGCCAAUAUCGAAGAAUGUUGGCAGCACUUGGGGCUUGAGCGCAGUAUCUUUCAUUAACGUUUCAAGUUCACCUUCAUUCAGCACAGGACUAGAAAGAAUAACCUGAGCAGCAUUUUGAGGCCCAACCUCCAAAAUAUUUCCUCGUUUUCCAAGAUUCACCUCUAGUGACAUAACUAAGCCUUCUCUGAGAAGAUCAAUUGCAGGAUUUGUAACUUGCGCAAAUGGUUGCUUGAAAUAGUCAUUGAUCAUGUGGGGCGUCUGAGAAAGUGCAGCCAAAGGAAUAUCAUCUCCCAUGCGAAAUGUUGGCUCCUCCCCCUGUGAAGCCAUUGUUUCAAUAAUCAUCUGAACAUCCUCACUUGAGUAACCAAAGGCCCUCUCAGUUUGUCGUAGCCACCGUUUGGGAUUUUCACCUGUAAACGUCAAUAAUUCCCCUUUUCUUGGUCCCGAUGCCUCUGUCGCAGCAAGCACUGCUGCCGGUGGAGGAUCUGGAGCCGAAGCUCCCUCCUCACUAGAUCUUGGCAGUUGUGUUGUUCCCGACGGAAUAGAUGAGAGCUUUCCCACAGUAAGAUUUUGAAGAUGGAGCAAAAUUUGCUCCAUCGUUUCUUGGUGUCGGUCCGCCCUAAUCUUCUGAUUCUAUAGCUCGGUGUGGAGUUCCUCCAUAUGAGCUUCGACUUUGUCCAUCUUGGAUGUUGCCGCCUUCUUGACCACACGAGGAUCGUCUGGCUCUAAUAUUAAUUUGGUAGAACACCAAUUGAUAUUGAAGGAAAACACUUCUUGAAUUGAAGAAUAAGGCACACAAAACAAGAAUACAGAGGGUAGAAAUGACCAGUCGGAGUGACUGAUCACCUUGGAGGAUAUUCGAGAGAUCCUCCCACUCUCCACUUGGUCCGUUCUCUUCGGAUGCCCUCUCUUGCUGACCUACCUCCCUUCUUAUACAUCCUUGGUCCCUUGUUUGCCACUUCCACUAACCGUUUCUUGAAAUUGGUUCAACUCCUCUGUCGGUUACUGACCCAACCGGUUCACCUUCUACCAGUUGGGGGCACCACUUACGACGUGGCUGAUAUGUAAUUAUCGGUGUCAUACCAAAUGUCAUUCACGCUUUGCUUGGUGGGUGGUUUUUAACUUGGGUGUGAGCAUUAGUUUGGAGUAUCCUAAAGUAGGAUGUCAUGGCCGUGGUUAAAGAUUCGGAAGGGAAGCUGCUAUCUGUGGAAUAUUUUGGCUUCGUUUUUCUUGUCCCACUCUUAAUACAUGGAGUUGAUGCACUAAGAUUUCAUGCCUUCUACCUUUUUACUGAUUGUCAUUAGACAUUAAUAUCUGUUGCUGCAACUUUUAUGCUUUGGACAUCUGCUUGUUCAUGUUGUACCUUGACGCAUUUCCUAUUUCUACAUCUCGGUUGGAUUUCAUUUGUUGGUUUUUCCUGGAAUCUGAUGUCAUUUUACUCUCCGUAACCCGUGUAAUUUAACAUUACUUUUCCUUCCAGGAACCUUUCAAAUCCAAAAUUAAUAGGGGCAAUUGUAUUUCAUGAGCAAGGUCCUCGGUCAUUUGACUACAGUAUACGCCUUAACCAUACAUGGGCCUUUUCUGGCUUUCCUGACGUCAAGACAAUCAUGGAUGUGAAUGGACCUUAUUUGAAUAACUUGGACCUAGGCGUUAGUACUGUACCAACUCUCCAAUACAGCAUGAGUGGCUUUUUCACGGUAUGAGUUAUCUCUUUUCGUAUCUGUUUGUACUUGUGUUCUGUAGGAUAUUCUCUCUUGAUCAUUUCCAGGAGACUAAUUUUAAAUGUGUAACCCUUUAACAGAAUUUGAAGACUGAUUUAAAUAGUUCAUUACAUGUGAGGGUAAUUUAUUGGCAUGAUCCUGUUGAUAUAAUCAGCUUGAGUAUUCAAUCUGGAAAUGCACUUUUUAUUUUUCUACAAGAUCCUGUUUCCUCUUAUUGCGAAAGAUUCCCGUGUCACUGUAGAUGUUAUGUGAUGCGUAAGCGGCUUUAAUAUGUGUCUCUCGUAAUUGGAAUUUCAUGAACAAUGGUUGACUGUGUUCACUAAACAUUAGUUCUUUUUGAGGAUACUAAAGUAAUCUCUAUGCGUCUGCAAUUUUAUUAGGGGGAUUUCAGAUGAAGCUAUGAUUUAAGUGUUUAUCACUCUUCCUCUCGUGUUUCAUCUCUCUUCUGAUAAUGUAUUUUUUUUCUUUGUUGGCUUUUUGCAGUUGCAGCAGCUUGUGGAUUCAUUUAUAAUUCUUGCUUCACAGAACAGUGCUGAAACUCCUGUUGAACACAGAGGACUAUUGCUUAAUAAAUCUGCAACCAACAACAACAAAGGCAAUCCCUGGUCAAAAUUUAGUCCUGCAAAUAUUAGGGUAGCUCCAUUCCCGACUCGUGCGUAUACAGAUGAUGAGUUCCAAUCAAUUAUAAAGAAGGUCAUGGCCGUCUUGUAUGUAUUCUUUUGCCUUCUUCCCCCACUUAUUUGUCUCUAGUCUUAUAGAUAUCCAUUCAGUUCAAUUUACCUGCAAGUUCUGAUGAUAUUGUUUUUCAUGUCAUAGGUAAUAUUAGCAUUUAAUGUUUGAUAAUAUUGUGAUAUUUCUUUCGUUGGGUACUCCCCAGCAAUGGGGAUCUCAAAUCUACCCUGUUUACCUUCGCUGAAGUUCUGGAUUAAAAAGAUUCUUAUGUUGUACAUCAUGCUACAUUUUAUUUUCAGUAGUUUUGUGAUGGUCAUUUAAUAGGGCUUCAAUUUCUGGUUUUUGAGGAUUGUACGUAUUUUGUUACGUCCAUCUGACAGUGUUUUUUUCGUAUGAGCAGAUACCUAUUGGGAUUUCUUUAUCCAAUAUCUCGUCUACUGAGCUAUUAUGUUUUUGAGAAGGUUUGAGAUCCAAUUCAAGACUCCGUUCACUUCUACUUUGUUUCUUUGUAUAAUUUCUCCUACCUUUCAAUGGUUUAUGAAUAUCUUGUCACUUUACGUUAUUUUAAUUUUAAUCAUAUUUUCUUGUAGGAAAACAAGAUUAAGGAAGGCCUCUACAUGAUGGGACUUAAGGAUGAGAUCUUUUACCUUUCUUGGCUUAUCACAUAUACCCUACAAGUCAGUCCUUCAGAUGCAGCUUCUAUGUUCGUUAUUGUCUGUUUGAAUGUCCUUAUUGCUUUAGUUUCACAUUUUUAUCACUCAAAAGAUCUUCUGAAUAAGAUAAGUUACUUUGUAAAAGCUAUACAUAACCUGUUAUUACCGUCCAAAGACAUCUGUCUCGCUCUCUCGCUCUCUGCAUGUUUCUCACUUAUAUUGGAGUGCCAGCCUUAGUGAUAUUUCUCUUUCAAAAAGGAUAAGAGGCAUUGGAAACUUGUGGUGAAGAAUAAACAUUUGUUACUUUAACAAAAAAUGGAAGUUUUGGCUGGGAAAAGUAUUUUUGAGGAUGUGUUAUCAUCAUUGGGUUCUGACACGACCCCACACAGAAGAGACAGAGGCGGCCUGAGAAGAUCUAGAUUGAGAGUUAAGGGAACGAACAAGAAGGGAGAUGACAAGAGGGUCCCACAGGAACCUCAUAUCACUCCAGAGGCUUUCAAGAGGCCUUCCGCUCUCUAAGUGACUAUCCUUCUUUCCUCAAAAGUGGGCCCCCUGGGCCCAUGGCUCGGGCCUUCAUCCUCACCUUAAGGGUCUCAAUUUACAACCUUGCCCCUUACCCUCUACACAGACCGAC
rnacentral:lncRNA from 1 species